UUUGAAACUCCUAGAUCUUUUGAGAUUCAUUGAACUUUUCAAUGGCAUGUUUCGAUCUCGAGUAUGCCCUUCAGGUUUUGUGACUGGGAUGCCGAGGAUCACAAAACAAGGUGUGAAGUAACCAUGCAAAUUACUUGGUACCCUUAAGUGUUUACCCCUCAAUCGAUGUGCCGGUUAACCACACACGCUCCAUCGAUACUAUGAUAAACAUUAGGUUACCCUUUGCCUACCUUGUUAAAUACGAGUUAGUGUGCCGGUUAACCACACAAGCUCUACUAACCGACAUAAACAAAGUUCAAAGUGUAAUUUCUUGGAUUAGCACCUUAUUCACAUUUACCUAAGUAACUAAGAUUGGCUACUUAUAUAAGGUUUAGUUACUUAGUAUUUAUCAUUAAUACUUUUAAUGAAGGUAGAAUUAUAGUCCUUGUCCUACCCGUUCGGCUAACGACCCUCCACCGGUUAAGGAAGCGGUGGGUGAGAGUGGACACCCAUUAANNNNNNNNNNNNNNNNNNNNNNNNNNNNNNNNNNNNNNNNNNNNNNNNNNNNNNNNNNNNNNNNNNNNNNNNNNNNNNNNNNNNNNNNNNNNNNNNNNNNNNNNNNNNNNNNNNNNNNNNNNNNNNNNNNNNNNNNNNNNNNNNNNNNNNNNNNNNNNNNNNNNGUGAAUGAGGCCUACUAACGGUAAGACUGACUUUACUCUUAUACAUAUAUAUAAAUAUUAUUAACUUAUAAUAUUAUAAAGUAUAAGGGUUGAAUUUUAACUUUUAAAAUUAUAAGGUCUAGUUUGGAAUUAAAGUAUACAUGGGGGUAACUUUACAAAUUCCAAAACUUGAGGACAAGUUUUGAAACCAUUCAAAACUCUUGGCUUUUUCAUAACUUAUGAGUUUAAUUAAGUUUUAAUGAAAAAAAAUUCAAGUUCCAUAACUUGAGGACAAGUUAUGGAAGACAUUAAAUCUUUUAAUGAUGACAUUAAAAAUAAAGACUCUUCUGUUUUCAUAACCUAUGAGACUUAAUGACUCUUUAGAAAAAAAACUCUUCACUUUCCAUAACUUGAGGACAAGUUAUGGAGUUCAUAAAAGAUCAAAUAUUCCAAUUAACACGAUAAUCAAAUAAUUUUUCAAUGAUCUAGAUUAAACUCAUAAGUAAAGAUAAUUCACAUCAACAAUUUUCAAGAAAUUAGAUAAUCAUAUAAACUAAUACAAAUCAUGAAAAUUUGACAAUUAUCCUUUGAAGACUUUUGGACUUCAUAACCUAAAGAGUUAAUAAAUGUGACAUUUCACAUCCAUAACUUAUGCAAGUUUUAAAACUCUUAAGAUCAUAACUUUAAAAAAAACUUUUGAGUUCAAAAUUUUAUGACAAAAUUUGUAACUCCUUAAAACCACUUAGAUAAAAAUUUUAAAACAAAUAAAAUAAUCAUAUCAUUCUAUCUUUUAAUAAAUUGACCUAAUUCAACUCUUGUAGUAAAGUGACUCAAGUUUUACAAAUAAUUAGUUUUUCAUAAAAUCAAGUAAUUAUCAGAAAAUUUGACAAACUUCAUGUUUUUUUUCUUUUUUUUUCCAUCAACAUGAGAAAAAUACAUUUGCAUCAAAUAUAGUAGAAAACAACCCAUGGCUCUGAUACCACUGUUGGGUUUUGGUAUAAUACAACAUCCUAUGGUGCACAUACAACCCUAAAUACCUUGGAUCUAUGUUUUCACUAAUUAUAUAUGCAAAUGGUUUCCAAGGCAUUAAACCUAUAACUAGCUUGCAUUUGACACAAACCAUAUAAUAUACUAGUUAGGGAAACAUACCUAAUAUGUGUCUUGAAGUCUUGAUGUAUUUGGCCUUAAGAACAUAGCACCAAUAGUAUGAAAUGCCUCAAAUGGAAUCACAACACACCUAGGACAAAGGUGGCUCUUGAGAGAGAAUUCCAUGCACCAAAACACCUCUAUAUUUCUCUAAGAAAAGAAGUUGUGAUUUUGGCUAUGGAGUAACCUAUUUAUAUAUAGGACUCCAAGGGUCAUGGGUAUAACCCAUAAUCCAUACUGAUGGGUUUUAUGAUCCAUGGUUUAUGUGGCCCAAAUCUUUAUGUAUCCAUACAUAAACUUGGUCCAACAUGGAUCAUAAGCCCAACACAUAUAAAUAUAACUAAUUAUCAUAAUUAGUCCCCAUAGAUUUAAUUAGUCUCUUUUGAUGAGUAAAUUAAUUCCAAAUUAAUUCUUGAUCGAUACUAAUGAAAACAUACGAUUUCAUAUUAAUAUAUUAUAACUUAUAAUAUAUUAAUAAACCAUAAAUAACCCUCUCUCAAAAGUCCAUCCUAACAAAUUGUCCUUAUGAUAUGCAACCCAAAUGGACCAUGAUACUCUUGGGUUAAGUACAUACCAAUUAUAGUUAUAGGCUUAGACAUCUAAUCCAAUAAUUAUAUGCUAUUUAGGAUCCAUUGUGCUCAAGUCUUCACUUGGCACAUAGUAAUCCUGCAAAAUGAUCUUUCGUUCACAUCACUCACUAUAAGUGAGUUCAUACCCCUUAAGUUAUCUUUUAAAUGAUUUUGAAUGCUUUUAUGUGGGAAAUAAAAUUAGAAAACAUGUUAGUUAUAUAAUCAAUCACAUGUGAUUUAUAACUAUGUUUCAAACAAAGGAUUUCAUUUACAUUAAACUGUGUUACCAACCAAACUACUUUUAAAUCAUUUUAUAAACUGACAUCAAGUCAUUAUUAUUUAUUGUUAAAAACUCUUAAAAUGUAUUACAAAACCACUCUUAAAUUUAUAUACUAUCAAAAGCAUGUCUAUAUAUGUAUAGUUAUAUAAAUAAUGUUUAAAGGACUUAGGACUGCUAACUCGCUUUAUUUCCUUUUCUUUGUUUGGAUGUGGACUUAGGGUAUCAGUUAUUUGUCCGAAGGUCGUCUAAAUAUUAGAUAUAUAUUAUGUAUACAUAUGUGGAUAUAAAAGUACUAUCAAUCAGUUCAGUACCUUUGGGUAGCAAAGGCAUACAUUCAGUCAUUCAUUCAAUUACUAAAAUCACUAGUCAACUAUAAUAGGUAUAGUUUAGGAGAAUACUAUCAUAUACAAACUCUAUAAUAGAGAAUACUAUAACAGAGAAUACUAUAACAGAGAAUACUAUACAGAGAAUACUACAUAGAGAAUACUAUAUACAGAAAAUACUAUAUAGAGAAUACUAUACAUGGAAUACUAUUACUAUAACAAGUAUAAUAUAAAAGGUUAAGAAAUAACAUAAUGUGAGAUAAUACUUCAUGACACAACAACCAUUUUGUUGUGUCACAUUUUGUAACCAGAAACUCCUGGAGGGAGAGCGUGAGUUUGCGUAUAGAUCUAUACUGGAUUGACUAUCCUACACCCUUGUUGUUCGCUACAGUGGGAUUUUUAAGUCUACGGGUGCCAAAUGUCAUUUCUUCCGAUGUCUUUCAACAGCAUGUUAUAGUUAGUUUAGUAUGGUAACAAUCUUAUCACAUUUUCCUUAAUUAAACCAUUCUUUUUAAGGUAGUUAUUACUUCAGUAGUUAAUACAAAUAAUACUACAGUACACAUACGUUUUCCCAUUAUAUUCAAAUUGUGAUCUUCUCACAUAAAGGGUCAUAUAAAACUAUAUUUUGGUAAUGAUAGUCAUAUUUGGGAAAAGCAUUCACUUUUACAGAGAAACAAACAUACAAAACAGUCGGGUCUUGGUAAAAGACUACUUUUUAUACUAGUAGAAAAUAUAGGAUUUUCUAGGAGUUUUCAAACAUAUACAAAUAUUUACAUUGAACAUUUACAAACAUUUUCAUCGAAAUUAUACAGACAUUGACACUAAAUACUUAUGAACUCACCGGCUUAAAUACUAAUCAACGCUUUCAAAAUAACUUGUAUUCUCAGGUCAUCAAUAGACAGGUACCGAUGGCAGGUUUUGAGAAGACGGAGCACAGUCAAGACUCGUCUUUUAUUUUGAUUAUUCAUUUUUGGUGUCUUAUUACUAUCAAAAGAACACACUUGUAUGAAAUUAUACUAUUAAUGCAAUGGAUGAUGUUGUUGCUUAUUUACUACUUUGCACUGUUAUGAUACUAUACAUGACGUCCUCCACCCCAGAAUGUUUCCGCCAUUUAGGUUUUGGGGUGUGACACCCUUGAUGGUUUCUUGAUGAUUCCAUGGUUGCAUUUCUAACUAUGACAAUACGGAUGGCUUCAAUUUUGCUAUCUAGCCUCCUAGGUUUCUGGUAGCAAUCGGGUCGUCUCUUUUCCUAAUGGACAAAUAAGAAGGCACACUUCAAAAGUAGACAAAUACAAAGUAAGAAAGCGAUACCUUUGGAUGGACCCGGGUAUUGUUAUCUAAUUCCUAACUUUAAUGUCAAAUGAGAGUGUUGCAAUAUUAGUUUUUUAGAGAAAUGUUCUACCUACUUCCUUUGGUUAUGAUCGGCUUUUAUAGGCUUUCAAAGACGUAUUAGUUCGAGCUUUUACCUGGAUUUUUGUGUAGUCCAGGUAAGGACAGCUUAUUGUGGGUAUCUUUACAUUAUGCUUUUCGUCAAAUAUGCUUUUCGUCAUAUAUGCUUUUCUUACAACCUAUGCCCCAUGUUUAUUAUUAGUCAAUCAUGCUUCAUUCUUUCAUAACGAAUAAUGUGUAUGUCUAUUAGGUUUAGAGGUUCCCAAGUCGGUAUUUGCUUCUUUGCCGACCUGGGUACACCAUAAGUCACUCUAGCUAAAUAUGAUAUUUUUAAAACUAUUCCAUUAUGGACCUAGUGCAUGUCUCUCCUACUCUGAUUCAUAAUCUUAUCUUUUCUUGAAAGAAUCUAAUUUGCUUGCACCUUGAAAUCGAACAUCCAUACCGGCUUGCUACAAUGUAAGAACAAAUGCUAUAUAUAUUGUUGUUCGUCAUCAAUGAGAUUCUAACUUUUAUCAUUCAGAUGGUUUUGUUGAUUAUUUCAAAGUCCAUCUAGUGGUUAAAUACAUUACCGUAAUGCCCUGAAUUCAGAAGACCUAGAAAGGAAAGAAAAGCUUAAGAUGAGGAAGUGACUCGUCGGGUAGAUGGGUGAUUCGACAAGCAGGAGCGCUAAUUUGGUCGUAGGUUAAGUGACCUACUUGACGAGUCAAAAGGAUGACUCGACGAGUUGGCCAGAUCUUGGGAAAACCCUAAAUCGGGAUUUGUUGCCCUAUUUAAGCAUCUUAUUCUCAUUCUAUCAGGCUCAUUUGUAGCCUCCAUUGUCCAGAACUGUCCCACAAAACCCUAGUGCUCUUUUUGAGUGUGUGAUCCAUUAUUGAAGGAUUUAGAGUAUUCUUCAUGUCCAGAAGAAGAAGAAGGAGGAGGUUGGAGGUCCAAGGAGAAGGUUAUAGAUCUAGGAAGUUUGCUUCAUAUUCUUCAUUUUCUUAUAAUCAAGUUGUCACCUUGACUUGUAGUUUGUUUGAUCUCUUUAUGUCCCUUUUUAUGGAGUUUAUGGUCCAAGAAGGAUGUCUUGUGGACGAUGACAUGAGUGAAAUCUCUGUAGAGGAUGAGGUUGACUGUUCUGAGUUCAUUAGGAGCGAACCUGAAAACCACAAAAACUUGAUUUCUGAAAAUUCUGUGGAAUUUGCUCGUCUGUCCAAAAAUAAGUCCCCAAUCCUUAAAGAAAAGGCCGUGGUAUACAAAAAAGUUAGAACCACUCCCAAUCAGGUUUAUAAGGUUACAGGAGUAACCGAACAUCAGAUAGCCGAACUCAUUGCCAUGGUGAAUGAAAAUAAUGCAGAUGGUUGUGAUGAGUUUUUCUGGUCUGCACCGAUAGACAACGCAGAUGAAACAGUUGGUUUAUCGGAGCAAACAUCAUGGAAGGCCAAAGGUAGAUAUGUGGCAGAACCACUAAAUAAACCUACCAACUUUGACGUGCCCAGUUCCAGUGGUACAAAAGAUGUUCCAAAGGAAUAUGUCUUGUAACACUCGUGUUUCUAGCCUAGGCAUUUAUAUUGAGUUGAUAGUCUAGGUUAACCUUUGUAACUCAUUUUGAAGAAAUGAAAAGGAAUUAUGUGAAUUAUGUGUUUUAUGCUUAAUUAUUAGGGCUUAAUUAAUUAAAAAUAAAAAUGAGCGUCAAAAUUAAAGUGUGAGAUAAGCCCGAUAUCUUUAUAUAAAGUUGUAGUGGUCGAAACAAGGAUUUCGGGGAUAUAAAGAAUACCAAAAUCCGAGUUAUAACGAAGAAGUUAUAACCUGUCGAAGUUUCGCGAAAAAACUUGCACGGUGCUGAAUGUCGUAAAAAGUGAGUUUUUGAUAAACUAAUUUUUAGCUUUAGUAAUCUAAACGAAAGUCGUAGUAUUCGUUAAACCGAGAAUUUCGAUAAAAAGAACGCCCAAAUCUGACUUCGUAUGAGGAAGUUAUGAUUUUUCGAAGUUCCAGCUUAGCAGUAGACAGCUAAAAACUCAAUUUUUAGAUCGAGCGAUUUUUAGCCGACACAACCUAAAUGAGAGUUGAAGGUCUCGUCAUUAGGAGCACAACGGUAAAAAGUCUGACGAAAACGGACGUCGUAUGAAGAUGUUAUGAAUUUUUAACGGAUUUCUUGUCCUCGUCUGUUAAAAAUAACAAUAUAAAAUUUCAAGUCAAAAUUAGCCGACGAAGUCUAAACGAAAAUUGUAGAGCGUAAUUUUAGCUACGCGUGCAUAUAGAAAACGUCAAAAACGGAGCUCGUAUGCAAAAGUUAUGGAUUUUAGAAGUUUUGGCGCGAAAAGCAAGAAAAUCCGCAUAGUCACGAGUUGCCACGUCACCCUCGCUGAAAAAGUGCCACGUGUCCUGCUGAGUCACUGAAGCUGCUGAGUCAUGCGAAGCCACAUGUCAGAUCCUCACUAUGCCUGCCGCGUGUUCCGAGCGUCGCAUAGCCUAGCUCCGAACCGCGCAUGUGCACCAGUAGGCUGUGGUCCACUUAGAAGCUGCCAGCGAGCCCUCGCAGGUGCGACCCAUGUGCGAGCCAUGCGCGGCCUCGUGCGAGCCACCCCCCUCUGUGAGCUUCGGAUCUGCGAUGCGUGUCUUCCUCCUGACCAUCCGAUCAGAAGCCUCGCCUCUAUAAAUGGAAGGGUGCGAGACCUCCCGGGUAUACUUAGGAAAAUUGUCAAUUUUAACCCCUAGACCCGUAUUUCUUUCAUCUUAACAUUCCGCGAAGCCCCAGUAUCGAUUGUAAAGCCUGGAAUACUCCACGAAGUGCACGUGAAGCCCGUAAAAUUUAUCUUUUUGGUUUCGAAGCCCGACUUUUGCAGAGCCCGCUUUCUCCAUAAAAUUCCCAGUUUUAUUAGAAACGAUCGUUUUAGGAAACGAAUUGUUGCCCGAUUUUCUGUGACAACCCGAAAUUUCUAUUCUGAACAAACCAUAUCAAGCCAAUAGAUGUAGAACAGUUCAAUGUAAACUCAGAUUUCGAGUAUAAGUUUGGCAGUUUUCAGGAUUUUACACUUAAGGAGAUAUUAGGAGAGUGGAUGCACUAGGGUUUUCUGCAACACUAUUAUUCCAAGACUGUAGGACAUUAGAGUUCGUUUCAGGAAUAAAAAUAUUUUCUGCCAAAAAUAUUUCAGGACUAUAAAUAGAUUUCUGAACUAAAUUCAUUCAUUAUUCACAAUUCAAACUAGAGAAAAACCGUUUUCUCUCUCACGGAUCUUCGGGUUUCAUCCCAAAUCGUGAGUACACUUCUCUAGUUGUGUUAUAAUGCUUGUUUUAUGCUUAUUAACAUAGAUUAUAUGUCAAAUAUAUGACAUCCGGGAGUUUACCGCCCAAGAACGUUCUUGGGGAGUAAACUCCAAAAUGAAGCUUAAUGGCCAUCUAGUCCCAUUUCCUUGUUAGGUAUCUAGCUUAGGAUAAUAUGUAUGAACAUUUGAGACUAGAAAUCAAUCAAGAACACCUAGCUUUAGGAGUUUACGGCCCAAGAGUUUCUUGGACCGUAAACACCAAUUUCAAGGGCUUAAAUGUGCCCUAAUCACCCCCAAAGGCUUAGGUUUUAUUAUAGACAUGUACCCUAAAGUGAUUAGAACCUAGAAAACACAUGGAAACACAAGUGUUGAAGAGUUUACGGCCAAGAGUAGUUCUUGGGCCGUAAACUCCUAUAAAGGGGUCAAAGGACACCCUAACUCCUUCCUUAAGCCAAGAGACCAAUUUGGGCAUGUACCUAAAUGAGUUUUGGACUAGUUAAAACACUUAGAACACCAAGAGUGAGGGAGUUUAUGGCCCAAAAGGUUCUAGGGCCGUAAACUCCAUAAAAUGGUGCCAAAUGGUGCCAUAAACUCUUCUAAAGCCAAGUACCAAAGCCUAGUUUAGUUCCUAGUUAAUUUAGAGACUUGAAAACACCAUAAAAACCCUCCCAAGGGAGUUUACGGCCGUAAACUCCAAGGGAAUAUGGUCUAUGGGCCGUAAACUCCCCAAAGGAGUUAAUAUGGUACCCAAACACUUGUAUAGCCUUGAAACAAUUCCCCUCUAGAGUUGUAGUAAUUCUAAGCUUCAAUUAGGGACCCUAAGGAGAGUUUACGGCCAGGAGUUUACUCCCCUGGGCCGUAAACUCCAAAGAAUAUGGUCAUUAGACCUUAAACUCCCAUUAGGGGCAUUGCACUCCUUUGUUGCAACCCAUUAGCCUCCUAGCACUUGACCAAAAGUGUUUUCCUCGCGUUUAAAUGUUUAUACUUGUAUAAUUAGUGUUUUAAUCACUAAUUAUUUAUAUACAUAUGUUUUCAUAUGUAAUUAGGAUCAUUGUGUGUGUCUAAGUCUUCACUUGACACCAAGCACUUGUCCGAUCCUUCCGUACGAUAACAGUCCGUUCAAUUCCAGUCACUUACUGCAGGUGAGUUCAUACCCCUUAACUAAUGUUUUAAACUAUUUUUAAAUGUUUUAUGGGGGGGAUACAAGUAGAAUCAUGCUAGUUAUUAUAUCAAUCACAUGUGAUUAAUAAGUAGAAUUAUGCUAGUUAUUACAUCAAUCACAUGUGAUUAAUAUACAACAUUCAAAUGAUUUGGCUACUCAUUAGCCGUUUUACCAAACAGUUUCCUUCAAAUGAUUUUUAUAAACAUUUUAUAUGUUUUAAACUCCUUAUUACACUGUACAUUUUACUCUGUAUAUCACAUUUCAAACUUAUUUACAAUUGUGUUUCAAACAAAUGUUUCUUUAUACUAAACUGUUUUAUCAAACCCAUGCCUUCAAAUUGUUUUAUAGAUUGACAUCAAGUCGAUCUUUUCUUAAAAUAAUAUUUAUGUUUCAAAUGUCUUACAAAACUUAUUUAUGCUUUUAUAUUAUAAAUUGCAUGCCUCUAUAUGUAUAGUUAUAUAAGAAAUGUUUAAAAGACUUAGGAAGGCUAUCCACCCUAUUUCCUUUUCGCGCUUGAGAUGUGGUCUGGUGGGAUAUCGGGUACUCGUCCGAAGGUCGUUUAAAUAUUAGUUAUAUAUCAUGUGUACAUAUAUAGUCAUAAAAGGUCCUUCCAGUUCAUCCCAUGCCCUUGGGUAGCAAGGGUAUACAUCCUUGUCCAUACGUACCACAUAGAUUACUAGUAAGCUACCAUAUGGGUAGUUUAGGAAGAUACUAGAACUAUUACUAGAACACGAUAUCAUUCAAUGAGUCAGUUCAUUCAUGAGUCAAUACUUUCUAGAACAUUACAGUACAUUACUAUACUUGCUAGGUAGAGAGCACGUACAUUACAGAUAGAACAGUUCGUUACAUUACACUUACAUUAAUACGCCAAUAAUUGUGAUCCACUGUAUGGAAGCAUGCCUUAAUUGUCAUGCCCCGGGUUGUAACCAGAGUCUCUUGAAGGGAGAGCGUGAGUUUGCGUAUAGAUCUAUACUGGAUUGGCUAUCCUACACCUUGCUGCUAGCUACAGCAGGACCGGUAGGUCUGCAGGUGCCAAACGUCAUACCUUAUUUUCGACUAUACGUUGUCGUUGUUACCAGUCUAUAGUAUGGUGCAAUUUAUCACAUAAUGCCUUAAUAUAAAUCCGGUUUAAGGUAGUUAGUACGGCUGUAGUUCUUAUAGCACUACACCAUAGUACUAGUUCAUUUUCCCAUUUCAUUCACUUCGUGAACAUUCACACGACGCACGGUAAUGUAGAGACUAUAUUUUAGUUAAUGAUAGUUAUACUUGGGAAAAUACAUACUCUUACACGAGACACACAUCCAGACACUAGAUGCCUUGGUAGAAGNCAUAACAGUUAGGUCUCGGUAGGAGACUACUUUUUAUACUAGUAGGAAUCAUAGGGAUUUCUAGGGUUUUUCAAACACUUACAAUUCAUAUACAAUUUCAAUACAUAUAGUUACAAAUUCUUACAUACAAAUACUUACAUACAAAUUAAGACACUAAAUACUUAUGAUCUCACCAGCUUCAAAGCUGAUAAUCGCUUUCAAAAUUACUUGUAUCCUCAGGUCAUCAUAGACAGGUACCGAUGCAAGGAGAAAGGAAGAUGGAGCUUGUUCAAGUAUUAUCUUUCAUUUUGAUUUAUGCUUUAGUGUUUUUUUAAUAUUUGACAUAACACAUUUGUAUAAUCAUUAUAUUAUUAUUGCAAUGGAUGAUGUUGUUGCUUAUUUACUACUUUACAUUGUUGUUGGUAUUAUACAUGACAUCCUCCGCCCCAGAACGUUUCCGCCGUUCUUGGUUUUGGGGUGUGACAUUUUCAUCAAAAUAUGUGAGUGUGUAGUUACUUUCAAUUUACACAUAGAUAUGAAGUAUUUACCUUGAAAUACGUGUUAUGUUUAAUUAUAUUAAUUGUUUAAUUGAGGUGACUGUUGAAUUGAUGUUUUAUACAAGUUUUAAACCGUAUAUGAUUUUUAUCUACAAAAUAUGUUGGGUAGAACAUGGGUAGAUGAAAUAGUUGAUGUGUGUUAAAAAGGUGAGAGGCCUCGAUGUUGUUGUUCUUGUUGUUAUUUUUGUUGUUGUAGUCAUCUAGUGGAGUAUAGAUGAUGACCACAUACUUUCUAGAUAGUCCAGUGGAACAUUAGCAGGUUCGCAACUUGUAGGUGUUGAUGAAUUAAAUGUUCAUUGUCGUACUCCAUCCCCCUCAUGGUUGCCUUAAGGAGAUGUAUGGCUGAGGAAAACCCUUAGCAGUAGUGUCCAUCCCGAUGAUAAUCUUAGGCUAGGUCCCUUGUGAAAGGUGUUUAGGGACGUAAAGUGAGGACAAGGGAAAUGGGUAAUCAGGGUUAUUGUUGAUUGGUGAAAUUAAUAAGUGUAUUAUUAUUGUGGGUUGAAAACCCUAUAUGCUCACCAGGCUCCCAAGCCUGACCCACUCAGUUUUUGUGAUUACAGGUAGUGGACCCCGAGCAUAGUCGGAGGACGACGAGAGAUUUUUGGAUUAUAGGCUAGUAGUUGCAAAUAACUGUUCAAAGCCUUAUAAUGUCUGGUUAAUGCUUUUGAUCAGUAUCGGAACAUGACAUCCCGAGGUUUUGGAUAUAUAUAUGGAAAAUAUAUACCUUCUUAAUAAAGGGAUUUGAUAAACUUUAAUCAUAUGUUGUUAGGGGACCAAUUCCACAACAUAUUUUAAAAAGAUUUCUCUGAUUUUAUUUAAAAAGCAUAAACUAAAUCGGUCUUUUCUGGCCGAGAAAUUAGGGGAUGUCAUAGUUGGUAUCAGAGCAUUAGUUUAAACGAACUAAGAAAUUGUAGACUUUCUAGACUUGAACUUAGAAUGCUAAGUGAUGAUUGUGAGAUGAGUGUCUACCAUAUUUUAGACACGAGCACUAGUUUAUUUUAGGGAAGAUGCCUAAAAUGCCCUUAUGUGCUAAAUGCUAUGUGUUUGCCAUGUGUGCCAUUAUUUGUUCGGAUCUAUGGUCUGUUGCCGACCGGAUCUGGAAACCUUAUGUGUGUAGGAUUCUAAGCGUAUGAAUACGAGAUUAGAACUAACAUGUAAACGUUUCGGAGUGAUAAGGGAAUUGACAUGUCUAACAAGGAUAAAGACCUAAAUUCGCCUUAUUCGGUAUAUAGAUUGUAAUGGCAAGAACUCGGAGUGGAGCUGGAAAUGCAAACAGAAACCAACAACCUCAACCUCAUGUGGUGGAACAGGUGCCGAUAGUAGGAGCUGCACCCGAACCCAUCACCAUGGUUGCAGUACGAACUAUGAUUCAGGCCAUGUUGGCUGAACAGAGGGAGGAAUUGAGGCAAAUGUUGUUGAACGACAGAGAUGAACCUUCAGUUCCUGUUGAAUAACGUGAACUAAAUGACGAUCGAUCUGAAGAAGGGAACAACAGUAGAUCGGUUGGUCAUAGUGAACCGCUUGUGGUUGGGAGGAAUAACCACGAGGGUAGAGUGGAGAGAAAUAGGUGCAAGUAUAAGGACUUUAUGACUUGCAAGCCAUCCACCUUCAAUGGAAAAGAAGAUCAUAUCGGAGUAAUAGACUGGAUCUCGGAAAUGGGGUUGGCUUUCAUGACUUGUGAUUGCCAAGGCAAGUUACAAACUACGUUUGCAGUACGUCAGUUCAGGGGUAGUGCUGCUCGUUGGUGGAGCACUUUGGGGAAAACCCUAAGCCCUAAUGAGCCACUGCAAUUAACUUGGGCAGAGUUCUUAGUGCACUUCAAGCGCAAGUACUGCUCGGCCCAAAACGUACUUGAGUUAGAAAACCAAUUUCUAACGUUGCAGAAGGGGAGUAUGACCGUUGACGAAUAUACGAAUAACUUCACAGACAAAAUGGAGUUUGCUUUGCGUAUUGUCCCAGAUGAGUUGGCAAAAAUAGACAGGUACGCAAAGGGACUUCCAUGGGAGUACGUGGUGCCAGUACAUCAGGCACUUACUUUGGAGGCAGCUAUCUGGGCUGCCAAGUCUGUUGAAGAUAUGAUAAAAGGGAGAGCCGCCAACAAGGUUGAAGUUGGCAAAAAGAGAGAGUUUGAAGGAACUUCAGGUUCCAAUAAAAAGAACAAAUUCUCGAAGACUGGUUCGAGAAAGUUUGGAGGAGGAAGCGAAGCCAAGUGGUGUGACAAGUGUAAGAAGAAACAUGCUGGGAAGUGCAGCGUGGAAGUCACUUGUUACAAAUGUGGAAAGCCAGGGCAUUAUGCCAAUGAAUGCACCUUCAAUAAGAACGUAUGUUUUGGGUGCAAUGAAGAAGGGCAUAUUUUGAGGGACUGCCCGAAGAAGAAGGACGCAGCAAAACCCAAUCUACCACCAAAGCCGAAGGCGAGAGCCUUUCAGAUGACACUCGAAGCUGCGAAAGAAGAAGUCGAUGUCGCUUCAGGUACCUUUCUCGUAAACGAAUUGCCUGCCCAAAUUUUGUUUGAUUCUGGAGCCAAUUACUCCUUUAUAUCGCAUGAAUUUGGUAGAAAGCUAGCUUUGCCUGUAGAUAUGCUAGUUAAUGCUAUAAUAGUCGAGAUUGCUAGUGGCAAGUUUGUACCUGUUAGCCAUCGUAUGAAAAACAUCCUCAUUGACUUGGAUGGGAAUAAGUUCCAAGAGGAAUUAUUGCCUAUCGAGUUAAAUGGAUUCGACAUAGUUUUAGGAAUGGAUUGGCUUAGCGCCAACGAUGCAGAAAUACUAUGUAGAAAGAAGAUAGUAAAAGUAAACCCGCCAGGGAAAGAGUCGUUUAUGGUGUACGGAGACAAACGCAGAGUAAACUCUGGAAUCAUUUCCCUAAUGAAAGCCAGAAAGUGUUUGGCCAAGGGAUGUACAUCAUAUCUAGCAUUCGUGAUCGAUGCCAAGAUGGAAAAGAAGGAGGUGCAGAAUAUUCCGGUGGUGUGUGAUUAUCCGGAAGUCUUUCCCGAAGAUCUUCCCGGAUUGCCCCCUGAUCGACAAGUAGAAUUUCGUAUCGACUUGUUACCAGGAACGACGCCGAUAGCAAAAGCACCUUAUCGAUUAGCGCCAACCGAAAUGAAAGAACUUAUGACACAACUUCAGGAGUUAAUGGACAAAGGUUUCAUUCGACCUAGUUCAUCGCCCUGGGGAGCCCCUGUGUUAUUUGUAAAGAAGAAAGAUGGGAGCAUGAGAAUGUGCAUCGAUUACAGAGAGCUGAACAAAGUGACGAUAAAGAACAAGUACCUGUUGCCAAGGAUCAAUGACCUGUUCGACCAGUUGCAGGGUUCGAGCUAUUUCUCGUAGAUCGAUCUUAGGUCCGGAUACCAUCAACUAUAGGUGAGAGAGAAGGAUAUCGAAAAGACUGCGUUUAGAACGAGAUAUGGACACAAUGAAUUUUUGGUUAUGUCGUUCGGACUAACCAAUGCCCAAGCAGCUUUCAUGGAUUUGAUGAAUAGGGUUUGUAAACCAUUCUUAGAUAAAUCUAUGAUAGUAUUCAUAGAUGAUAUCUUGAUUUAUUCGAAAAGGACGUAGGAACAUGAAAAGCAUCUACGUGAAGUGUUAGAAGUCCUGAAAAUGGAGAAGCUGUAUGCAAAGUUUUCCAAAUGUGAAUUUCGGAUUCAAGAAGUCCAAUUUUUAGGUCAUGUGGUUAACCAAGAAGGAAUAAUGGUCGACCCGGCAAAGAUUGAAGCUGCAAUGAAGUGGGAACAACCAAAAAGUCCUACGGAGAUUCGAAGCUUUUUAGGAUUCGCUGGAUAUUACCGAAGGUUUAUCUAAGGCUUUUCUUCGAUUGCUACUCCAUUAACAACUUUGACCCACAAAGGAGCCACUUAUGCUUGGAAUGAGAAGCAUAAGGAAGCCUUUGAGAAGUUGAAGAAGAGAUUGUGUGAAGCACCGAUUCUUUCAUUGCCUGAAGGAGUUGAUGACUUCGCAGUUUAUAGCGAUGCAUCUAGAGUUGGGUUAGGUUGUGUUCUGACCCAAAGGGAUAAAGUGAUCGCGUAUGCAUCGAGGCAAUUGAAGGAACAUGAAAAGAACUACCCCACUCAUGAUCUGGAGUUGGCAGCGGUAGUAUAUGCCUUAGAGACAUGGAGGCAUUAUCUUUUUGGCACAAAGUGUAAACUUUUCACUGAUCAUAAGAGUCUCCAGUAUCUCUUUAAUCAGAAGGAAUUGAACAUGAGGCAACGAAGCUGGCUAGAGUUACUCAAGGACUACGACUGUGAGAUACUUUACCACCCUGGAAAAGCAAAUGUUGUUGCUGAUGCUCUCAGUCGGAAGGUAAACCUUGAAAAGAAAAGGCCAAGAGUGUUGAGAAUUGAAGUUGUCUCGACAAUUUUGGAAAGUAUAAAGAAAGCUCAAGAGGAAGCUUUAGAGAAAAAUGACCGAAAGGAAGAACGUUUUGGGCAAAAUGUUAGUGUUCGGUACAAACAACCAAGGGUUGAAGGCAUUCCAAAAUAGGAUUUAGGUACCUAAGAUGGGUGGAAUAAGAGAUCUUUUGAUGGAAGAAGCUCACAAGACCAUGUACUCGAUUCAUCCCGGCAGUACAAAAAUGUAUAGGGAUCUAAAACCCUAUUAUUGGUGGCCGACGAUGAAACUCGAUGUUGCUAUGUAUGUGGCCGAGUGUGUAACUUGUGCUAGGGUUAAGGCACAACAUCAGAAACCGUAUGGGAGUUUGGAACCUUUACCCAUACCCAUGGGUAAAUGGCAUGGGAAGACAUCACCAUGGGUUUUGUGACUAAACUACCCAGAACAAGGAACGGUCACGACAUGAUUUGGGUGGUCGUUGAUCGCUUCACUAAGAGUGCGCAUUUCAUAGCAGCCAAAGAGAAAUGGUCUAUGAAUAAACUUGCAAAUUCUUACGUGAAGGAAAUUGUGAGGCUUCACGGUGUUUCGCUAACGAUUGUAUCCGAUCAUGACAGUUGUUUUACCUCGAGAUUUUGGAGGAGUCUACAAGAGGAAUUGGGUACCAAGUAGUGUUUGAGUACAACUUACCAUCCACAAACCGAUGGUCAGAGUGAACGAACGAUUCAAACAUUGGAGGAUAUGCUGAGAGCAUGUACCCUAUAAGUUCAAGGUAACUGGGAUGAACACUUACCUCUAGUAGACUUCUCCUAUAAUAAUAGUUUCCACUCGAGCAUCAAUAUGGAACCUUAUCACGCUUUGUAUGGGGGGAAGUGUCGACGCCAUCAUGCUGGCCGGAAGCUGGGGAAAAGCAGUUUAUCGGACCUGAAAUAGUCCAUCACACUGCUGAAAAGUUGAAAGUGAUAAGGGAAAGGAUUUUAGUUUCUCAAGAGAGACAAAAGAGUUAUGCUGACAAGAAAAGACAAUCGAUAUCCUUUGAUGUUGGAGAUUCGGUUUUACUUAAAGUCUCACCGUGCAAGGGACUUAUAAGAUUUGGUAAGAGAGGGACGUUGAGUCUAAUGUUUAUUGGACCAUUUAAAGUUAUUCAGAGGAUCGGGAAUCAAGCUUACAAGCUAGAGUUACCGGAAGAACUAGAGGGUGUUCAUAACACCUUUCAGGUGUGUUAUUUGAGAAAGUUCACAGGAGAUGUGCCCGACAUAAUUCCGAUUUUUGAGUUAAGGUUGGAUGAAAACAAGAGGUUGAUUGAAGAACCUGAGGCAAUUGUUGACCGUAAGACUAUGAAGUUACGACGCAAGAUGGUCGAUUUAGUGCUUGUGCGCUGGAAACAUACGAAUGGACCAAAUCUCACUUGGGAAACGGAGAGUGACAUGAUGAGUCGCUACCCGCAGUUGUUUGGUGAUAUGUGGUUCCGGGGACGGAAUCAUCCUAAGGGGACAGAAUUGUAACACUCGUGUUUCUAGCCUAGGCAUUUACAUUGAGUUGAUAGUCUAGGUUAACCUUUUUAACUCAUUUUGAUGAAAUGAAAAGGAAUUAUGUGAAUAUUAUUUGAAUUAUGUGUUUUAUGCUUAAUUAUUAGGGCUAAAUUAAUUAAGAAUAAAAAUAAGCGUCAAAAUUAAAGUGUGAGAUAAGCCCGAUAUCUUUACAUAAAGUUCUAGUUGUAGAAACAAGGAUUUCGGGGAUAUAAAGAAUACCAAAAUCCGAGUUAUAACGAAGAAGUUAUGACCUGUCGAAGUUUCGCGACAAAACCGACACGGUGCUGAAUGUCGUAAAAAGUGAGUUUUUGAUAAACUACUUUUUAGCCAUAGUAAUCUAGACGAAAGUCGUAAUAUUCGUUAAACCGAGAAGUUCGAUAAAAAGAACACCCAAAUCUGACUUUGUAUGAGGAAGUUAUGAUUUUUCAAAGUUUCAGCUUAGCAGUAGACAGCUACGAACUCGAAUUUUAGAUCGAGCGAUUUUUAGCCGACACAUCCUAAACGAGAACUGAAGGUCUCGUCAUUAGAAGCACAACGGUAAAAUGUCUAACGAAAACGGACGUUGGAUGAAGAAGUUAUGAAUUUUUAACGGAUUUCCUGUCCCGGUCUGUUAAAAAUAAUAAUAUAAAAUUCAAAGGCAAAAUUAGCCGACGAAGUCUAAACGGAAGUUGUAGAGCGUAAUUUUAGCUACGCGUGCUUAUAAAGCAUGUCAAAAACGGAGCUCGUAUGCAAAAGUUAUGGAUUUUAGAAGUUUUGGCGCGAAAAUCGAGAAAAUUUGCAUAGUCAUGAGUUGCCACGUCACCCUCACUGAAUAAGUGCCACGUGUCUUGCUGAGUCACCAAGAUGCUGAGUCAUGCGAAGCCACGUGUCGGAUUCUGAUUUGACCGAAGGGAGGUCCAAUCUGAGGCUAGCAUAUGGACCGAACCUCGCACCCUAGCUCUGAGCCUCGCAUGUGUAAUACGACUCCGCGGUCCAAUCAGCAAGUGCCACUGAGACCUUCGCACAUGCUGACCACCUGCGUAUCGGACACAUGCCUCGGUCCACUUAGAAGCUGCCAGUGAGCCCUCGCAGGUGCGACCCAUGUGCGAGCCAUGCAUAGCCUCGUGCGAUCCACCCCCUCUGCGAGCUUCGGAUCUGCGAUGCGUGUCUUCCUCCUGACCAUCCGAUCAGAAGCCUCGCCCCUAUAAAUAGAAGGGUGCGAGACCUCCCGGGUAUACUUUGGAAAAUUGUCAAUUUUAACCCCUAAACCCAUGUUUCUUUCAUCAUAACAUCCCGCGAAGCCCCGAUAUCGAUUGUAAAGUCCGGAAUACUCCACGAAGUGCCCGUGAAGCCCGGAAAAUUUAUCUUUUCGGUUUCGAAGCCCGAAUUUUGCAGAGCCCGGUUUCUCAAUAAAACUCCCGAUUUUAUUAGAAACGAUCGUUUUAGGAAACGAAUUGCUGCCCAAUUUUCAUCAAAAUAUGUGAGUGUGUAGUUACUUUGAAUUUACACAUAGGUAUGAAGUAUUUACCUUGAAAUACGUGUUAUGUGUAAAUAUAUUAAUUUUUAUAUUGAGGUGACUGUUGAAUUGAUGUUUUAUACAAGUUUUAAACUGUAUAUGCUUUUUAUCUACAAAAUAUGUUGGGUAGAACAUGGGUGGAUGAAAUAGUUGAUGUGUGUUAAAAAGGUGAGAGGCCCCGAUGAUGUUGUUGUUGUAGUCAUCUAGCGGAGUACAGAUGACGACCACGAAAUUUCUAGAUAGUCCAGUGGAACACUAGCAGGUUCUCAACUUGUAAGUGUUGAUGAAUUAAAUGUUCAUUGUCGUACUCCAUCCCCCUCAUGGUUGCCUUAAGGACAUGUAUGGCUGAGGAAACCCCUUAGCAGUAGUGUCCAUCCCGAUGAUAAUCCUUAGGCUUGGUCCCUUGUGAUAGGUGUUUAGGGACGUAAAGUGAGGACAACGGGAAUGGGUAAUCAGGGUUAUUGUUGAUAGGUGAACUUAAUAAGUGUAUUAUUAUUGUGGGUUGAAAACCCUAUAUGCUCACCAGGAUCCUAAGCCUGACCCACUCAGUUUUUAUGAUUACAGGUAGUGGACCCCGAGCAUAGUCGGAGGACGACAAGAGAUUUUUGGAUUAUAGGCCAGUAGUUGUAAAUAAUUGUUGAAAGGCUUAUAAUGUCUUGUUUAUGCUUUUGGUAUGUAUCGGAACAUGACAUCCCGAGGUUUUGGAUAUAUAUAUGGAAAAUAUAUACCUUCUUAAUGAAGGGUUUUGAUAAACUUUUAUCAUAUGUUGUUUGGGGACCAAUUCUGCAACAUGUUUUAAAAAGAUUUCUCUGAUUUUAUUUUAAAAAGCAUAAAUUAAAUCGGUCUUUUGUAGCCGAGAAAUUAGGGGAUGUCACAUGUGUCCUCAACAAGCGAAACCUCUUCCUUGAAAAGUGAACCUGUUGCUCAGAAGCCGAAGUAGAAGGCAAAUAUUCACAGUCAACCGAAACAAGUGAAAAAUCAAAAGCAGCAGAGGAAUUUAGGAUACAAGAAAAAUCUCUCAGAGCGAAAGCAAUUUUGGCGCUCCCAAAAUCCUCACUAUACUCAAUUUGACAGAAACUCCAAGCCAAAAGGAGAAGAAAAUAAGAGUCAAAGAAGCUUCGGUCCAUCAGAUCAAAAGAACCAGAAGAAGACUUUCGGGCCACAGGAAGAACAAAACCGAAAGGAUAGGUUCGGUCCCGAAAGUAACAACAACCGAAAGACUGGUUUCGGUCCACCAAAAAACAACAGAUAAAGACGAAAGUUCACCCCAUCAAGCUUUUACAGCAGAAGACCCAGUUUCGGUCCAGCAACCCACAACAACUGAAAAUCCAGUUUCGGUCCAUAACCAAACAGCAGCUGAAGGUCUAGGUUCGGUCCCUCAAAUGAUCACAACCGAAAGGGUCAUUUCGAACCACAAUUCAGGAAAGAUUCUCAUGCUAACUUCUAUUCUUCUAAUUCUUCUCGUUCUCAUUCUUCUUCUAAGCCUAAUUCUCUUCCUACACCAAACUCACAAUCGUCGAAGGAUUUGAAAGGAAAAAGGAAGAUUUCCUCAGCAAAUGAAGACCAAAAGCAAGCUAAAGUCCAAACGCCCGAACCUGAAUCCAAAAUACCUGCAUCUAACUCCAAUAAAAUCAAAGUGUUUACCACUAAGAGGAAAGAUGAAACAACCUUAAUAAAAUGAACAUAUCUAGUUGAUGUUUCUUUUACUAUUCUUGUUUCUGUAAAAGGCUCACGUGGACCCAAGAAACUUUGGGUUCCUAAAUCUGCUUAAUUUUUGCAGGUUAUAAGUGACGAGCAGUUCGACGAAGAAUGGUACAUAGACAAGUUUGGUAACAACUCUUAUGGAAUGAUAAAGGGUUAUGGGAUGAUAACCAAUUGAGACUUUACAAUCAGGAAGGUGGCGUAUGUAGAAGGGUUGCAGCAUAACCUCGUCAGUGUGUCUCAACUGGUGGGAGGUACAGGUCUCAAAGUCUCUUUCGAUGACAAAGGUUCAGAGAUAAUAGAGAAGAAAUCCAACAAAGUUAUUCUCAAUUCUGAACGAAAAGGUGAAAUGUUCCCUUUGAAUCUCAGACCAAUCAAAGGGAAUCUAGCCAUAUGUCUUUUGACCAAAGCCCAUUCAGACGAAAGUUGGUUGUGGCACCGAAGGCUCUCACACCUCAACUUCAAUGACAUCAACAAGCUAGUCACAGGUGGUCAUGUUCGGGGACUCCCACUGCUUAUGUUCGAUCGAGAACACUUAUGUGCUGCAUGUGAAAUGGGGAAACAAAGUCGCCAAAGUCACCCAACAAUCAUAAACACCAAAGUUGUUGAACCACUUGAGUUGCUUCACAUCGACUUAUGUGGUCCAUCAUCAAUCGAGAGCAUUGGCAGUAACAAGUACAUCCUUGUUAUUGUUGUUGAUUUCUCACGAUUUACUUGGGUAUUCUUUCUAAAGCACAAAUUUGAGGCGACUCCCAAACUGAAGAUCUUUAUCAACCAAGUCGAAGUGCAACUGAGAAAAGUCGUUCGAAACAUCCAGAGCGACAAUGGACUGGAAUUCAAGAACAAAGAAUUCGAAGAUUUCUUAGCAGAAAAGGGCACCAGUCACAAUUUCUCAACCCCCUAUACACCUCAAAAGAAUGGAAUUGUCGAAAGGCGAAACCGAUCCCUGUGUGAGGCGGCCCGAUCCAUGGUGAGUUUUGCUUCCCUUCCUCUAUAUUUCUGGGCUGACGCCAUUGCUACAGCUUGUUUUACUCAAAACAGAUCUUAUCUCAACAAGCGUUUCUCUCUCACCCCUUAUGAGAUUAUUAAAAACAGGAAGCCGAAUGUCAAGUUCUUUCACGUGUUCGGUUCAAGGUGCUUCAUCUUCAACUCCAAAGAACAUCGCAACAAGUUUGAUGUCAGAGCUGAUGAAGGUAUCUUUCUGGGAUAUUCUCUUACUUCAAAGGCAUACAGGGUUUUGAAUAAGCGUUCUAAAAGAAUUGAAGAAACCUAUUAUGUGACGUUCAAUGACAAUUACGUCAAGAAGUAGAAGUCUACCGAAGAAGCAAUUGGAGAGAUUUUCUCUCAAACAGGUCAAGUCACAGCCUCAAUCGCCAAUCUCUAUGAGGAGUUCAUGGAUCUAUUUGAUGAACCUGAGAAAGCUGCUCACUCUGAGGCCACGACAACAUACAACAAGAUUGAUCACCUUAAGAAGAUUGUAGAAGAUGCAGCCAAACAAAUGGGAGCAGAAGAACCAGUUCGAAAAGAACCUCCCCAGAGCGGUACUUCGGUCAAGGGGGAGAAUCAAUUUUCUUCAAAUCAACAGGAGACACAUAUCCAGGGGGAGAAUCCAAUCUUUGACGCACCCGAAAGUCCUGUAGCACCCGAAAGCCCAGCUGCACUCGAAAGUCCUGUGGCACCCGAAAGUCUGGUAGCACCCAAAAGCCUAGUUGCACCCGAAAGCCCAGCUGCACUCGAAAGUCCUGUGGCACCCGAAAGUCCGGUAGCACCCAAAAGCCUAGUUGCACCCGAAAGCCUGGUUACACCCGAAAGUCCAAUGACAACCGAAAGUCUGGAUCAGCCUGAAAGCCCAGUCGAAGAAAGAUUUUUUGGUUCACAUCCAAAUGAUUCAUCAUCUGUCGAGGGGGAGAAUUUUGAUAUGCACUAUGACGAUGAUGUUCAAUCAGAGUUGGAAGAAAUGGUAAAUGCUGAAUUGGAUCCAUCCUAUGAUCCAAAUUAUCCUCCUCUCACCAAAUGGACCAGAGAUCAUCCUGUAUCUCAAAUAGUGGGUGAUGCAUCAGAAAAGGUUCUAACUCGAUCACAACUAAAGGUGAAGCAAACUGCUCUAUUCUCCAAAGUAGAAUUAUGCAUGUUUAAUUCUUUCAUCUCCAAAAUACAGCCGAAGACCGUCAAUAUUGCUCUCGAUCAUUCUGAUUGGGUUCAGGCAAUGCAAGACGAACUCAAUGAGUUUGAAAGAAAUAAGGUCUGGAGACUCAUUCCAACACCAAAAGAUGCCUCAGUUUUCAGUCUCAAAUGGGUGUUCAAAAACAAAAUGGACAAAGAGGGAAACGUUAUCCGGAAUAAGGCUCAGCUAGUGGUGAAAGGAUAUUGCCAGAAAGAAGGAAUCGAUUACGAAGAGACAUUCGCUCCGGUAGCAAGGCUAGAAUCCGUUCGAAUAUUUCUUGCUUAUGUCGCACACAAAAAUUUCGAGGUCUACCAGAUGGAUGUGAAGUGUGCGUUGUUAAAGGGGAAACAUGAAGAAACCGUGUACGUUGAGCAACCUCCUGGCUUUGUGAAUGAAAAGCAUCCAGAUCACUGCUACAUCUUAGAUAAGGUUGUUUAUGGUCUGAAACAUGCACCUAGGGCAUGGUAUGAAACAUUAACUAAGUUUUUAAAGGUGUCUAAAUUCAUACAAGGUUCGAUUGACCCAACCUUCUUUCGUAAAAAGGAAGGUAACCACCUUAUGGUCGUUCAAAUCUAUGUCGAUGAUAUCAUCUUGGGCUCAACGAAUCCUAACCUAACAGUUGAAUUCAAAAAGUUGAUGGAGACUAAAUUUGAAAUGAGCUCAAUGGGUCCGAUUAACUUUUUCCUUGGCCUAAAUAUUAAACAGGGACCCGAAGGCAUCUUUAUCAACCAAGAAGCAUAUACGAAGACUCUCCUUGCCAAAUUCGGCAUGAUGGGAGACUCAAAGGUCAAAGUCCCUAUGGCGUUCGGCACCCAGCUCACACCAUCUUUGGAAAAACCGGCAGUCGACAUAAUGCUAUAUCGCCAAAUGAUUGGUUCCCUGAUGUACCUCACAGCUAGCAGGCCCGAUAUAAUGUUUUCAGUAUGCUAUUGUGCCAGGUUUCAAGAAAAUUCUCAUGAACCACACAUGCUGGCAGUGAAGAAUAUAUUCCGGUAUUUGAAGCGAACCACCUCUCUCAGUCUCAGGUGUCCCUCAAACUGAGGUUUCUUCGUUCAAGCCUACUAAGAUGCAGACCUAGGAGGAUGUGGUCUAGAACAGAAAAGCACUACAAGAGGAUGUCAAUUCCUCGACGGGAAGUUGGUGAGAUGGAAAUCUAAGAAACAAACAUGUGUUUCACUGUCUACAGCCGAAGCAGAGUACAUUGCAGCCGCCUCCUGCACAUCCCAAGUCAUUUGGAUCCAAAGCCAACUCCGGGAUUAUGGACUCAAUAUGAAAAAGAUCCUACCAUAUUGCGACUCAGAAAGUGCAAUUAGGAUCUGUCAUAACCCAGUGCAACAUUCCAAGACGAAGCAUAUAACACUGAGGUAUCACUUUAUUAAGGAUCAUGUAGAAGAUGGAAACGUAGAAAUUCACUUUGUUCGAACCAAUGAUCAACUGGCCGACAUCUUCACCAAAGCCCUUCCUGAGGCAAGCUUCAAUAAAAUCCUACAAGGCCUAGGUAUGAUGGAAUCGGAGUCUGUACCAAAAACACCUUCUCAGAACUAAAAGUUGGAAGCGUAAGGAACCGAACGCUCGGUCUAUUUCGGGCUCGGUUCACACUGGAACCGAAAUGAACCGAACACUCGGUCUAUUUCGGCUUCGGUCCCACCGCACUUAUUUUCACUUAUCUCAAAAAGGUGAUAUCUUUGCUUGUAUACUUUUGUACAAUUGGAUUCCAAAAAUCCAAAAAUAAUUUUUUAUGGAACCGAAAUGAACUGAGCGUUCGGUCCAUUUCGGGUUCGGUUCAAAAAAUUUUCGUUUCAGUUUGGGUUGUUUUGUUUUUCUCUUUACAAAAAUAUCUUAUAGCUUGGAUUACGACAUACGUCUUCUAAGUUAUAAAAUAGUUUGUUGGGUCCUAGCCUUAAUAUUUCAUAUUGGGUGUCAUAUUAAGGACUUAAGAUCAACUAUCUUGAAUAUCUCCCAAAAGAUGUCUGGUUUAGACAUUUAUGAUCUUCCCAAAUCUCUUGAAACAAGCUUUCCUAAAUGAAGAUGAUGUCCCAUGGAAAUCAUACUUCUUUCACCUCCUCCAAUUAUUCUCCCUAACCCACAAGUUCUUGAAAAGUUUAAGGUCACUCAAGCCCAAUUGGCAAGGCAAGGUCUAGGUGUGGUCACAUCUUGGAGAUGUAGUCACAUAUUGACAAGCCGGGAGAGUUGGGUGUCAAAGUCUUGAGAAAUUUGGUGGUUCAAUCACUUUCUAAGUCACAUAGUGAGUUCCUUUGGGACACCUAUGAAACAGACUAUGACAAGACCCUUAAUGAUCUUAUCUAUUUGUUAAGAUCAACUUCCUUAAAACUUGAUGGACAUUGACAAUAGUGACAUAGGAAAUCCUGAAAAGCAUUCUCUUCCCAAUGGAAAGGAAUCGGACAUAGUCAACUCGGUUGACCCAAUGGUAAAGAGAAAAGCUAGUCUGUGAUAGUCCCAUGUACCUUUAUCAAAGGGUCCAUAUGUUUAUAUUUCCAAAGGAAGGGACAUUGGUUACGAAUCUGCCAAAUUUACCUAAGGAUGUUGAAGUUAAUAAGUUUGACUCUACUUCAGGUAAAGUCCACUAUCUAACUCUGUUAAGUUUCUAUUAUGAGAUUCUUGAUACAUGUUGUGACUAGGUCACAUGGUGAUGUUUUAAGAAUCAAAGAAAAGUGAAGAAACUUAAAAAAGGAAUAUAUGAUUCCAUUAAUAGCGUUUGAGGAAAAACUGUUGCUUAUAUGAUUCCAUUAAUAACAAGAGUGGAAAUAUGAAAUUGAUUCUUUCAUUUGUGGUAAUGUCUAAAUUUACCAAAUAAGGAAAGAUUCUUAUUACCCAAGUUUUAGUUGGAUACAAUCUUGGAAUCAUGCAAGUUGUAUAGCAUGAUGAAUGAGAACUUNNNNNNNNNNNNNNNNNNNNNNNNNNNNNNNNNNNNNNNNNNNNNNNNNNNNNNNNNNNNNNNNNNNNNNNNNNNNNNNNNNNNNNNNNNNNNNNNNNNNAAUGGACAAGUCAUUGACAAAGGUCAGAGUUCUUCGACAAGGUCAAAGUUCGACGGAAGCUUUUGAGAGCUACGAUUGUCAGUUGGUUCCUGAAGUCAUACGCAAUAAUAGUUUUAGACUUAUCCAAGUGGGAGUAUGUUGGAUAAGGUGUCUAAGUCCAUAACUUAUAGAUCGGAAGNAUGAGAGAAAUAAGACACUUAUGGUUAUUAAUAUAUUAUAAGUUCUAGUAUAUUAAUAAUAAGAAUAAUAAGAUUAUUUAAUUAGUAUUGAUCAAGAAUUAAUCUAGGAUUAAUUAAGUGAUCAAAAGAAGACUAAUUAAAUAUAUGGGUUGAUUGUGUAAAUCAUCCAUACUUGUAUAGUGGGCUAAUGCUCCAUGGAUAAUCAAGUUGGGCUAAAACCCAUAGGAUGGUCCAAGGAUGCUCCAUGGUGUAUUUGAACCCAUGGAUCCAAGGAAAUGGAAAGUCAUGACAAUUAGGGUUUACCCUAAUUGUAACACUAUAUAAAGAUCUUAUUCUUGACAAAAAUCGGCCACCAGAGAGAGUAAGAAAGGGCUAGCCGAUUUCAUGAAGUGUAGAUUUCUCUCAAGUCAUUCCAUGUGUAUUUGGUGUUGUGUGAACUAUUUGAGGUGUCACACUUGGGGCACUAGGCACUCAAGCUUCAUGAAGACAUUCUACAUCAAAGAGGUAUGUAUUCUAUCUUGUUAUAUUCAAUGAUUUGUAUGCUAGAUUAGGAUAAUAGCUUGGAUGUUCAUAUUUGUAUGUAUAAUAGAGCAAAAAUAGAUCCAAGGUAUUUAGGGUUGCAUGUACACUUAGGAGUGUUAGAAUGCUCAAAACCCAACACUUCAUUCGGUUUCUAUCUUAUUUCAAGACCAUGAAUUCUGAACUGAAGCGAAAGCCACCCCUCUAAGCCUAAUUAAAAGAUGACUUUCAACACUUCUUAGCAAGUGCUUGAUCGUAAUUCAAUGGGAAACCAAACAAACACUUUAAAGUCUCUCUUGACUUUGAAGGAAGAUAUUCGUGCCCGGGAUCCAUUGUUUCGUGUCUAUAUUGACAUCAUAAUUUCCCACAUAUAUGUUGCUUUUUUUCUUUAUCUUUGACACUCUAUGCACGAAAAUCUUUUUGAUUUUCCAAAAGUCUGGUUUGGUUUACUACAAGCUAUUUUUAUAGCUAUGAUCUUUAAUGACAUAUUCUCAACGGGAUGCUAUGGUUUGUCUACGUGUUUGCUUUUAUUUCGUGAAGACAGCUCAUAUUAAAGAUAAGAUGAUGACUCAGCCGGGAGACUAAAGGUUUCAGGAAUUCAAAAAGGCAUUUGAUGGGAAGACGUGCAAAAUGGAAACGUUUUUCUCUCUCAUGCGUAAUCAUAGGAGCUUCUAACUGUCAUGCGUCAAUCAACUCAGGAACCGUUUCGUUUUUUCAAGAAGAUUUGGGGGCGGAUUUUUCUCUCACUUCUACAUGGUAUAAAGGGUAAACCCUAAGUUCUUUUACCUCUUUACUGCACCAAAAUUUCUGAGAGCAAACAAAGAUGCUUUUAUACCACUGUUCAUCUCCUUCUUUGAAGCACUCAUCAAUGGCGGAUUCCUCCUCUGUUCAUGAAACCUCCUAUAUUCUCCCAAUCCGACCCCAGCAAAGCUUGGUCAUUGAUCUCACCCCAUAUUCGUAUGAUGCCUUCAUGUACCCUAUAGUGGAGUGUCUUAAACACUCUCCACUGGUUCUCGCAUUGACCAAGGUCGAAAUCGUACCUAUGGAGUGUUUAUCCCAUAUUUUCUCUACUGCCCACAACGAUAAGCCUGCUGAUCGCAUUUUCUUCGACAUUCUUCAUACCAAAACCUCCAUCUCAAAACAGCAAUUCUGCUCGCUUCUAGGGUUUGAACCUGAUGAGUCGAGGGUUAACCCUGAGUUGAUUUCUGUAGGACAGUUGUUCUCCAUGAUUUACAACAUGGGUUACACUGAAAUCCUUACCACCGUCACGAUGUUCAAGAAAUUGUGUCUUCCUCCUAAGUCGAAUGGAUUCUUCACGAUACUGUUCAAGGGGCUAUCAGAGAGGAGUGCAGGUUCUGAUGGGGCUAUUCGUCUGUUCAUGACGAUUCUCUAUGGGUUGUACACUAGUGUCAACCUUGACAAUGGCUCAGUUUUAUGGCAGUAGUUAAUCCAAAGCCUUGCCUCCACUUCACGCCAUUCUGAAAUUUCCUAUGCCAGGUUCUGGACACUCGUCACCAAAUGGGCGAUGGACAAGUAUCAUGUCCCCAUUGUGGCUACAUCUCCACUCUCAUUUAUUGGCGUCUUCCACACUACGAAGAUCAAUGUGACGGAUCCUUCCAAGUUUUAGUUUGUUGGUUCUAUUCCAGAAUAAAUGUAUGCUUGUGUAUUAGGGGAGAGUCGCAUCAUCAAGACCUACAAGGAGUUUCUUCCUUCGGGUCCCAUAGAGCUCACUCCAGAGAUGAUUCAAUCUAUCCAUAACGUCGAUAAACCUGCUCCCAGGGGCAAGAAACCAGAAAAAGGGAAAGACAAAAAGGUGGUCAAAGGAGCGAAAGGCCCUUCUCCUAAGAAGCGAAAACCAACGAAGGCAGCCCAAUCCGCUCCACCAAAGAAGAGGAAAACCCAGCCCAGGCAAAAACUCAUUCUUGCCUCUUCCUCCAGUAAAUAUGAGGAUGAGAUUUCAGACUCAGAGGAGUGAUUUCCUGGUUAGACUCCUACCCGUUCGGUUUCACCUGAGGUACCAGUUUCAACCAAACCUGUCUCUCCUCCCCCAAUCACUAUCUCUAUUUCCAUUCCCACCAGAACCUCCACUACUCAUAUUCCACCCACUUCUAUUCCUAUACCACCUCCUAUUUUCUCAGACGCAACAAAAACAACAACCACUGGAGUUCGAAACAACAUAUCUGAUACGGGGGCUCGUACUUCAGCACCAAAACCUACACCUGCUACCGAACAUACUUCUACACCCGAACCUACUACCACAACCGAACCUCCACCUUCGCCUUCAUCUCCAAAUCACUCUGCAGAUACCGACUCUUUUCUUGGAGGGGAAGACAUAACCUUUGAUUUUGUCUACUACAGUCCCUACCAGGUUCAAACUGAUCAUGACGAUGAUGCUCCUGUCACCAAAAAGCACAUCAAGGAACUUCAUGAGAAAAUUGAUAGUCUCAUUGCUUCCUCCUCCUCCUCUCAGUACAAUAUCUCAGAAGUUGCCAUUCAAUGGCUGGUUGAUUCUUUCACCGAGGGACAUGAAGCCUCUAUCAACUCCGCCACUGCUGCUAUAGAGGCAUCUACAAAGGCCUGUGCUGCUGCGACCGAAAAAGUGGAAAAACUAUUUCACGAUGCUAACAUUCUUUUUUUACAGUCUUUACAGGGGGCUGCUGAAUCCAUGCAGCGAAGGUCGAUUCUGUUGUUGAGAAGCUGGCUACUUCAUUCGCAUCAGAACAAUAAUUCUUUUCCGGUCUUCGUCAGACUCUUGAAGCUGACAAUAAAUAUUUUUAGGCAGCUGUUGAGGAGCAAUUGACCAAGCUUCAAGAAGAACUUGCUUCGGAGAACUCUGUGAUGGAUGCGCUUGCAUGCAAAACCACUGCUUUAAAGGUCAAGAGUCUUCAACUUUACCAAUCAGAAAAGGAGGUUGCUUCUCUUCGAUCUGAGCGAGCGGUCAUUUCCAUUUGUGUUUUGUAUGUCCACGGAGCCCUCUCCAACAUUAUUGAAGCACACGACCCAAUCCUCAACUACUCCGUGAGGCGAACUCUAGCUGAGAAGCUUGCUCCGGCCCUUUCCCUACUCAGCAAAAUUGAAGGGCUUCCUGAGUUCGUGGCCCAUCCAAAACAAGGGGGAGAAGGAGUUUCAAAGGGCGAUAAUUAAUCUCAACCGCCUCCUACUUCUACAUCAGCUUCAACUAAAGCAACCGAACCUCCAACAGCUGGUCAGGCUUCAGGUUCGGGUGCUCAGGAUAAAGGGAAAAAGGUUCUUGGUGACAGUGAUGGUGAUGAUGACAAAGAGACCAUUGCUGAUCUCUUGAAGAAACAGGCCAGGGAUAAGGAUUCAGACAUGGGUGCUCGGAUUGCAAGAGAGGCAGAAGCAAACCAAGGGAAGAUGAAGGAGGCUCAUGAUCUCCUUGAAAGUCGAAAAACCCUAUUCCCUCCACGGACUCUCAAGAAGCUUAUCAAAGAAGCUAUCGAUACCCCCAGCAUCCUUUGGCUUGAACCAGUGAUUUCCUAGGACACGGUUAAUUUUGUCGACUCUCAGUUCGACAUGCCCUUGACCCGAAAGGCCUUCAUAUUUCAUGCAUUUUCCCACGUUGCUGAUGUCCCUCAUCCUCACCCGAAGGUCGAUAGGGAGCUUGUUGAAUUCUAUUUGAGGUCUGCUCAGCCUUAGUAUCAGACGUGGAGUGUGCAGAAAAUCGUCAACGUUCAGGUCCUCAAACCCUUUCGGGAGGGUAACUUCACAAAUGUCAGGUUCAAAGUGUUGAGGGGUCAGCUAAAACCGAACAUGCCAUUUCUCUCGCUGAUCUUCCUAACCUGAAUCCACAUGAUUGGACCAUCCUGCAUAACAUCCUCCUCACUAAUGAAGCUGAAUAUGGGCCGAUCAUAGAUCACUUCAAGAGGAUGUUGGUUUGCUACAUCAUGGAAGUUGCCAAGAUGGAUCAGGAGAUUGCAAGUGUCUUCAAGAAGAAGCCCACCAUCUCCCCAGUUGGUUCUGCAAGCGAUUUGAAUAAAAUGCAAAUGGGGAGGAUCGAUCCAAAGCGAAACUCAGUCAUGUUCACUAGAAAUGAAGGCCAAAAAUGCCUGUUCGCCUUGGAUGACAAGCAUCUAUAUACCACUUCCUGUUUGCAGCAUGUUCUGGGGAUCAUCAAUCGGUGCAAGCAGAAUUCUGAAGAUGACAAAAAGUAUUUCGAUGAUAUGAUUCAGUGGUACAUUCGUUUCAGACAAACCAUUCUUGCCAUCAUUCCUCGUCUGUUCGAUACCAUGAAGAAAGUUCCUGCAACUGGAUCCAGCAAGCCUAAGUAGAGUCUCGCUCCAAUUGACGCAAAGGGGAAGAUUGUAGGGUCCAUUAGGUGUUGCGUCUUGGGCUCGGUUCAUAGUACAAUUUUGUAUCCGGAUUGGGCUUGUCCAUCCGUGAUUUAUUUAUCAGGGUUUUUUAUUUAUAGAUGCUUGCAUGCAUCUUUGUACGUAAGAUUUUGGAGUCGAUUAUUCACAGCAAAUACUUUUAUCAAUUGUAACCCUAAAAAGCCUCUAUAGCGGAAGUUCUUUAUCGAGCUCUGCUGAGCCGUGAAUCUAUUGAAUCAUUCAGCAUAUUUUGAUUCAUUCCUGUGUUUGAUAUUUCUGUUUGCGUUAUUGUGAUUAACCUGUUUAAGAUCUAAACGAUCAAAGAGUUUUUCAACUCAUCACAUGUUUAUGUUGAUGCUUAUGUAUAGAAGGAGGACCCGGGGGAUAUCCCUAGGAAGUUAUUGAUAUAUGUUCCGGGUUACAACCUAAUGUCGGGCGAUGCCCAAGGAAUGUUAGGAUGCUACAGGUCUUUGUGAUUCUUGCAUGUGUCGGUAUGAAAGGUUCCAGAUCGAGGGUCCGAUGUCAGGAAAGCUCGAUGUGCAUUAGAUAAUAGUAUGCCUCCGGGCCGAGGGUCCGAUGUCGGGAUGAUCCUAAGGAAGAUUCUUAUGUACUAUGUUAGAUUAUACUUGUUGUCUUCGUGAUGCUUGUAUGUGCCUGGUAGGGAGGUGAGUGUGGGCGAGGACCCGUAUCUCUUCACUAGCUGAGUAUGGAUGGGGUUCCAUAUCUCUAUAUUUAGCAGAGUAGGGGCGAGGCCCAUGGCAGGAAGGACGUGAGUGUGGGCGGGGCCCGUAUCUCACGACUAGUAGGAGUAUGGAUGGGGUUCCACUACUUCAGUAGCAGACCAGGGGCAUGGCCCAAGUCUGGAGAGGCCUUAGAACAGGGUACAUUUAGAUAUGUUUGUAUGCUCUAGUGUGUUAGUUUUUUGUACAUAUGUGUAGUGGCGGGCAAGGCGCAAAGACAGGCGAGGCCUAAGGGAAACAAAUAUGUAUACCGAGUGGGGCUCGAUGCCAAGUGGGACCUGAUACCAGGAGGGGCCUGAAUUCUGACGGGGUCCGAUGGCGAGCAAGGCCCAAUGCCGCCGGUAGGGGCCCAGUAUGUUGUUAUGUGUUCAGGGUUAUGUAUGGCAUGUAUGCAUAAAUAGAUAUGUAUGGUAUGUGGUAGGUUGGGGAACUCACUAUACUUCGCUCUUAUAGUUUUCAGUUUUAGUUUCAGGUACUUCUGGUAGUGGAGAGAAGAGCUCGGGAUUAGUAUGAUAAAAUGAAUAAGUGUUUUGGGAAAAAUACUCUGAUUGGUCAUAUAACCCUUUUUAGUAUGUUUAAAAUGAUUUAACGCUAUGUUUUAGAAAUUUUUUUAAAAGAAAUUUUUGGUCAUGAUUUUUGGGAUGAUACAAGUACGCUAAUUUAAGAUGUAGAUACUCUUAUACCUUCAGACUUAUUGUCAAGGUAGCCACUAUAUCUAUCAUCCUUGAUAUUUUCAACAUAAGCAGAUGGUAUCUCCCUCAACUUGAUGUUGUAAACACAUUUAAAAAUGUUUAUCUUCUGCACUCUAUUUCUAUUCGCAUAUUUGUGUUAUUCUAAAGAAAUAUCCAUGCUACUUUGUUAAAUGUAACUCUUGUAUUUGGAUCAUGUUCACGGAGCCUUUGGAGCACUUGUAACCCAAUGGAUCACUUGGGGUUUAUGGAGCAUGUAACAAAGGAAAAGAUCAUAUGAGAACAGAAUUAAUCGUCUGAUAAAGGAAUGGAUCAAGUGUGCAAGGAACGGAUUGUACACAAGGGGGUUUGGAGCACUUGGGAGUUAUAUGGAGCAACAAGGGAAGCUUUUUGCAUCAUUACACUCCCUAUUCUGUGAUGAGGGGUUCCACUUGCGCCAUGAGGAUCCCUCUUUCACCAUAAGCAUCCCUCUUGCGCUAUGAGGUACUCCUAUUGAGCCAUGGUGUAUGCUCUUGCGUCAUGUAUGGCCUUGUUGUGCCAUAGAUGUUCCUAUUGUGCCCAGGUGGUGUUUUUGCUCCAAUAUUGAUGUUCUUGUGCCACACUUGAAGCCUGUUGUGCCAUCCAUACAUUUAUUGCGGCAUCAUGGUGCAAGUUGGACCGUCUUGGUCCUUGAUGAGCCAAGUAUGCUAUGUAGUCCUCUAUGAUGCUCAAGAAUGUUCCAAAAGCUGAUGAACAUAGGAAUAUGAUUGAUUGCCUCCAUUCAUGAGCCUAUGGGCAGAUAGGCUAGGCCCUUUAAGGUUUUAGGUCUGAUCCCUCAACUAUAAAUAGGGAUGCAUGCUAGGUCAUUUUGUAUCUAAAAUUCUUGAGUGAUAGGUGAAUCUCUUUGUAAUUGUUCUUUUAACCUCUGUUUGAGAGCUAUGCAAUAAAAGAAUACUCCUAACCUUUAUGUGGACAUAGGUCACCUUGGUGGAACAACGUAAAUAUUAUUUCUUGUGGCUUAUAGUUUAGCUAGUUAUCCGCUUUACUUCCUAACAAGUAGUAUCAGAGCUACAGUUUGUAUUCCUAUGAUUGAAGAUGUCUACUCAAAAGUUUGAUUUGGAGAUGUUCAUUAGCUCAAAUGUCACACCCCCGAACCAGAUGGCGGAAACGUCUGGGGGCUGUUGUGACUCAAUUGAAUACCAUAANNNNNNNNNNNNNNNNNNNNNNNNNNNNNNNNNNNNNNNNNNNNNNNNNNNNNNNNNNNNNNNNNNNNNNNNNNNNNNNNNNNNNNNNNNNNNNNNNNNNUUCACUCCUUGGUAUCACUAAGAACAGUCUCGAAUUAACCGAGAUGUCAAUAUUAUUGUGUUUGAUUCGGCGUUAGGUCCUUAUUUCUAAUGCAAGCAAGUGUGUUUUAUUUACUUGUUUUGUUCAGAGUUAUGUUAGUCCCUCUUUUGGUUUAUAGUUGCAUAUCAAUGUGUGGCUCGACAUGCUAGUUCACUAUAAACAAAGCUCUGAUACCAACCUGUCACACCCCCGAACCAGNGGCGGAAACGUCUGGGGGCUGUUGUGACUCAAUUGAAUACCAUAACAUUGAAUAUAUAUGAAACAUAACAACAUUCGUCACCAUGCAUUAAUAUAGUACAACCAGUAGCGUUUACAUGAAAUACAUUGUUUAAACAUUACAUUCCCAAAAAUAAAUUGUUCGACUCGUACAUAAAUAAACUGCAGGCCACCACUGAAUAUUAUUUCCUUUGUAUCACUGGUUCCCUGAGAAUACAAGUAUUUUGAAAAACGUCAACAUAUGAAAUGUUGGUGAGUUCAUAAGCGGUAUUUGAAGAAAACAAUGUUCGUAUCGUUUGAAAACCACCAGAGAAUCCGAUAUUUUCUGAAAUGAAAAGCUUUCGAAAAUGUUUGUGAAGAUCCAUAGGUAUGCUUGUUUGUUUCUAUACUUGUAAAAAAUUUUCCUUAAAGUUCUAUACAUUUCGAGUCCGUUAUGUAUUGAGAAACCCUAGGAAAACCUGAUGUUUUCCUAAUCCUUUGAAUUCCAUGAAGUUGCGUUGAAACCAUUGCAAAAAGAGUAGUCUCAUUCCCAGGCGACGUUGGAUUAUUUUUGAGCAUGAUUAAUUGCUACAAACACGCAUUACACAAACGACCAGUUUAUAGCUAUACUAACGAUCCCGUAGGCGUCGUCCGUACUAAUCACGUUAUCCAACCGCCCUGACUACGUGUAGUCCCACAUCCGAAGAGAAAGAGGACACGAAGGCCUCGAUGACUCCAUUAACCGGUUGGGGAUAAAAAAAAUGUGUACGAGGGGUCCCCGACCCGCCUCGCAAAAAAAUGUAGACUUUACUAGCAAUACCAAAGGACCCUUGGGGACCAGUAGUAUACAAGCCAUUGAAAGUCCCUCUACGUUGUGCCAAGUCGGUGAAACCCAACACUUCGUAGAAAAAAAAUGUCUUCGGGCCUUAAGAUCAGGUCAUUGGGCUAGCUAGGCCCAACAAACAAGAUUUUACACUUUUGGGGCCCAAAGAUGGUGCGUAGACGUCUGUGCACACUCGCAUGUAUAUUGAAUUCCCAAACGUUAUUUGUAUGAAUCGUAGUGUCGUCGUGUUAGUAGUUUCGGAUUUUCAUUGGUUCGAGACCGAACCAAUUCGUUUCACAACGAUUUUGGUAUUGUAGUGUAUUGUAUUUCGUCGAUAGUCGCGGUACCAUUGUUUGAUCAAAUUGCAUGUAUUGAAUUAGCCUUGAAAGUUUUCUGUUUUCAGCCCCUCAUUGUUUGUAAAAUUUACUUUUUCAACCCUUUAAUUAAAUACUUUCCGGUUUGGUCCUUAAAUCAAUUUUCUUGACAUUUUAACACCAAAAAUUAUUGAAAUUGAUAUUUUUCAGCAUAUUUAUCAAUGAAAACAGUUUAAGUCCCUGAAAUUUCAGUUUUCUCGGUUAUAACCCUUCUUUUUCGCAACUUUGACAAUUUUGGCCCAAAUUGUAAAAUUUUUGCAACUUUGGUCCUUUUUAAAUUUAAAAAGCAUUUUAAACCUUUGAAAAGGACUUGGAACACUUAUAGUCCACUGUUUUACAGAAAAAUACAGUUUUGGCCCUCCAAAACAGAAAAUCUCGCAUAAUGGGCCUCAUUGGGCCGAAAAUGUCAUUUUUAGCCCAUUAAGCUUGAAAUUUAUGUUUUUAAUCCUCUAAAUGAGUAUAUUUCCAGAAAUUGUUUUAUUGAAACUGUUUUGGCACACCUCAUCCAUCAGAAUUCGUGAUAUGUCAAUUUGGACCCUUAAUUUUGUAUUUUUCACAUUUUAGGCCCAAAAUUUGUGUUUUUAGCCCAAAGAAAAUUGUUACUAAACCACUUAGCCAUUUUUCUUGAAACACUUUGUAUGUAGAAAUAUAUUUGAUGCUAAAACCAUUUAACAUAAGAUAUAUCUCGGUUUUGAGGGGUUUUAUGGCUAGAUCCAACAUUAUAGCACACAAAAGCAUACAUGUAAGCAUGGAAAUCAUACAAGGCAUACAAAACACAUAUAGAUCUACACUUUCACUUGUACCCCCCCCCCCACAAAACUCAUAAAAACAGAAAAUAGGGGGUAUGAAGCUCACCUUGGGUGUGGGUUCGGUUUUGCUAAGAAAAUGGAAGAAAAUGGAGUGAUUUUCGGCCUUAGCACCCUUCCUUGGUAGAUCUCGAGUUUGGUGACUUCUAAGGUGUAUGAUCACAAGUUGGAAUAGAUUUAGAAGAGGUUUUUGAUGGAAUGAAAUAGCUAGAUCAUAUAUAUAAGUAAAUACUUACUUAAGAUGGUGAUUAGCUUGAAAGAUCCUCUUGAAAGCUUCUUAAAAUCUCGAAAUUAUGGGGAGGAAAUGAGAGAGUUUUCUUGAAUGUUCUUUGAGAGAAUUUGUGAAAUGUGUGUGUGUGUUUGAGGUGUGGCCGAGAGUGAGAGAGAGGGGAGGAUAGAAGUGAUUUUGAAAUGAUGCUUGCUUGGAAACAUGAGUUAUGUGCAUGGAAACCCAACAAAUAAAAGUGAGGUGGCAACCCAAGGUCAACUCUCCCUUUUUCCUUGGGUUUGGGCCGAGAAUGGGGAGGAAAGAAAGGAUUUUUGGGCUUUUUGCCCCUAAGCCCAAUAUUAGAGUUAGUUUGGGUGUUUAUUGGCCUUAUAAAAUAAAAUUGUGAUUUUUAUGCUUUAAUAAGCUAGAUUAGGUUAAUCGUGGAUCAAAGCUUUCAACUCAUUUCAUUCUAGGCCCAACAUGGCCCAAAAUGUUGAAAUAAAUUAGUGUGGGUCUAAUUAGAGCCCAAUUAGGGUUCUAAGCCCAUGAUAGUCUAAUUGGAAGCUUAUUGGUCCAUUUGGAUCCAAUAAGGGAGUCCUAGUCCAAAAUGGACUUAAACAAGGACUUUUAGGGUCUCCAAUUGUUUGAUGACUAUUUGUAGUACUUGUAUAAUGUAUUUGAUUGAAGUUUUUGAAGUCAUAAUCAUAGGUGUCAAUCAUGUUCUUAAGUUUUUGAUUCACAUUAGCUUGAAUGUAUACAUGACACAAAAUUUCCAGUUGUGACAUCAAAUUACUGCACUUUGUAGAAGUAGAAAAAAGGGCUCUUAUGGUUGAACAAGGAUGUGUGCCAGUAUUAAAAGGAGAGGCAAAACUGCCAAAGGACAUGGCGUCUAAGAAGAAUGUGGACAUUCUGACGAAGGCAGAUAGCACCAUUCUAUUGAGCUUGACAUAUGAAGCACUGAGGGAGAUUAUGGAUGAAACAACUACUUAUAGGCUCUGGGAAAAACUUUAUGAAAACUAGCAGAGCAACUCUCUGAUGAACAAGUUGUAUCAAAAGCAAAGGUUGUACACUCUCAGAAUGUCUGAAAGUAUCCAAGUGAAAGAUCAUCUCGAUAACCUCAAUCAUAUCAUCUUUGAUAUACAAGGUGUUGACAUGAACAUCGGAGAUGAAGAUCUGGUGCUCAUUCUCUUAUGAUCUCUUCCUAACUCGUAUAAGAAAUUCGUUGAUACCAAGCUCUAGGGUAGGAAAUCAAUCAUUGUGAAUGAUGUGACGAACUCUCUGAUGUCCAAGGAACUUCAAAGAAAAGUUUCAGUUGGAGAGGAGGUGUCCAGUUCAAGUUUAUUUCUAGGGAGAGGAAGGAUAGAAGAGAGGAAAAGGGGAAACAGAGGGAGAUCACAUUCUAAAUCAAAGUCUAAAGGCUCAUCGAAUUCCAGGUGUCAAAACUAUAAGGAGGAGAGGCACUUCAAGCGAAAUUGUCCACAACUAGAGAAUGGGAAGUCCAAGAGUGAAUCAAACAGCAAUAACCUUACUGUUGUGGUUCAUGAAAGUUCUAAUGAAGGGGACGAUGGUGAUCCUAUCACAUGACGUAUAAUCAUGACUGGUUUGACUCCUUCAAAGAGUGGGAUGGAAGAAUCAAGAUGGAUGAUGAUUGGGUGAGCAAUAUCAAAGGUAUUGGAACGGUGCAGAUCAAGAUUGACGAUGACAUGGUCAAGGAUUUAGACUACCGCUACAUUCUAGAACUUCAUAAGAAUUUAAUUUUGCUGGAAGAUGAUUGGGUAAAAGUGACCAAAUUCCCUCUGCUUAUAAUGAAAGGGGAAGAUGAAUCACAGAUGGAUUUAUAUCCUACAAGGCAGUACAGUUAUGGAAACGGUGGCUAUCUCCCAAUCCUUGAAUGAAGGUGAUGACAAGACAGAGUUGUGGCAUCAUAGGUUAGAGCACAUGAGUGAGAAGCACAUCUCGAUUAUAGGUAAACAAUGACUACAUUGUGGAGAGGCUACUGGAAAGUUAAUGUUUUGUGAAGCUUUCAUUAAGGGAAAGCACUACAAAGUGAAGUUUCGUAUUGGUCAACAAACAAGCAAGGAAAUCCUUGAGUAUGUUCACUUAGAUAUGUGCGGUUAUGCACCAGUGAAGUCUCAUGGAUGAUUCUUACAAUCUUUGACUUUCAUUGAUGACUUUUUUAGGAAGGUUUGGUUUAACUUUCUGAAGAAAAAAGAUGAGGUGUGUGGGAAGUUCAAGGAUUGAAAUAUCAUGGUUAAGAAAAGGACUGGAAAACAAGUCAAGACUGUAACAACUGACAAUAGGUUGGAGUUCUUCAACGCUCCAUUUGAAGAUUUUUGCAAGGCAGAAAUUACAGUGAGGCAUCACAAUGUACGACAGACACCACAAAAAAUGGAGUGGCAGAAAAGAUGAAUGAAACACUCUUGCAGUGUGCAAAGUGCAUGUGGAUAUUUGCUAACUUAUCCGAGUAAUUUUUGGCGGAAGUAUUUACCAUUGCUUGCUAUCUGGUGAACAGAUCACCAUCAACUACUUUUGAUUUGAAGACUCCUUAAGAGGUAUGGUCAGGGAAACCCUCUGACUACUCUAGUUUACGUAUAUUUGGAUGCCCCACAUAUGCUCAUGUGAAUGAUGGUAAAAUUGAGACAAGGGAAAAGAAGGGCAUAUUUCUAGGAUAUAAGAUAGGAUUAAAAGGUUAUGAACUUUGGUGUAUUAAAGAAUGAAGAACUUCGAAAUUUAUCAUGAGCAGAGAUGUGACCUUUGAUGAAUCUACCAUGGUUAGCCAGGGAGGAGGUGAUACAAGUCAGGAAGGAAACAAAGAUAAUGGUGCUAGUUAGAAUGUGGAGUUUGCAAUUCAAACUCCAUACAAAGUUGUGAUAAGUUACAAUGAGCAAGGUGGUAGUGAACAACCUGGACAAGAUAAAACCUAAGAGUAACCCAUAGGAUCUUCGUCCAUUGGUGCUAAGGCCAGGAAGGAUGAUGGGUCUGAAUCUAUAGCAAAGAGAAGAUCGAAGAGGGUCAUUUAACAAUAUGAUAGAUAUGUGGAAUAUGUGAAUUCAGGUGAACUUGACUCCAUUGCUUUUGCUUUAGCAACUAGAGAAAACAUUGGCACUAACGAGUGUCAACUGUAUAAAGAGUUUGUGGUGAGUAAAGAUGCAAAUUACUAGUUCAUGGCCAUGAAUGAAGAAAUCCAAUCUUAGAGAAGAAUGAAACAUGGGAUCUUGUUCCAUUACCAAGGGGAGCAAAGCCAGUAGGAUGCAAAUGAAUCAAUAAUAAGAAGGAUGGGAUACUUGGAGUUGAACUAGCUAGGUUCAAGGCAAUGUUGGUGGCAAAAGAAUUUUAUCAAAAACCAGGAAUUGAUUAUCACGAGGUGUUCUCACCGAUAUUGAAGCACAAGAUAAUUUGGGUACUUUUGGACAUGGAGGGUGCAUUUUAUCUGGAUCCUAAACAACUUGAUGUGAAAACUACAUUUCUUCAUGGAAAAGUAUAAGAAAAGAUUUAUAUGUCCCAACCAGAAGGGAUCCUUGAUUCUAAGAAGGAUCAUGUAUGUUUCUUUAAGAAAUUGUUGUAUGCUUAGAGGUAGUCUCCAAGACAAUGAUACAUGAGAUUUAAUUCAUUCAUGAUCACGAAUGGCUACAGUCGGAACCGGUUUGUCACAACUAGCAUUCUGGCUAGGAAAUUUGGUACUCAUGUAAACGUUAUCUACUGUAAACUUGUAACCCUAAUUCAUGUUAUGCGUGAAGUUCAACCUAUGGAAACAAAUUCAAACCUAGAUUCAUCAAGUAAUGUUGAAAACCCUAAAAAUGUCGGUUUAUGUUCAUUGGGGAGCAUAAUUUUCUUAUUGGACCUAAUGGGCCAAUAAGCCUCCAAUUUGACUAUGUUUGGCUUAGAACCCUCAAAUGGGCCCUAAUUGGACCCACAUUCGUAAAACAUAAUCUUUUGGGCCAUCUUAGGCCAAAAAUGGAAUGGUUAACUUUUUUUUGAGCCUUAUAGUACCAUAACAAAUCCAAUAAGCCUAAUGGGCCAUAAACCAAUUCUUUUAUACAAAAAUUGAGCCGUAAGCUACGCUAAGGGCCUAAUGGGUCGUAAGUUUUCCUUAUGAGCCUCAUGGACUCAAGCCAAGGCAAGAAUGGGCCAAUGUGAUUCCCUUCUCCUUCCUUAGCCCAUUUCGGCCCAAGCAUAAAAAAAACAAUAAAAGAAGAGAUUAAGGGAAGAGUUGACUUUGGAGUGCCACCUCCACAUUAUCCCCCAUGUAACCAUGCAAAUAUCACAUAUAUCCAUGCAUCUAUCACAUCACACUCUCUCUUCUCCCUCCUCUCUUCUUGUUUCAACCGAAGACACACACCACACACACACUACACAAAAAUUCUCUCCAUUUCUCUCUAAGGCCAUCUCCUUCCUUCCUUCAAGGAAUUCUCGAAUGUUUGGCUUGGAUUCAAGAGUCUUCAUUAAGUGUUGUCAAUCUUUGGUAAGUAUUUACACAUCCAAGCUCUAUAACUUCACUCUCUUGUUAGAUAAUUCCUUUAAACAAAGUUUUUGGUGUUUAUACUCUUAGAAAUCUUCUUGAGUUCGAGAUCUACUCAAGGAAGUUGCUAGGUCCAAAAAUCACUUCAUCUUUCCAUCUCUCUCUAUUCAAAACCGAACCCACAAACCAAAGGUGAGUUCAUACCCCCUUUCCUUUUGGUUUUUACAUGGUUUUUUGUGGGAGAAUACAAGUCUCAUGUGUUGAUCUAUGUGUGUAUGUUAGUUUGUGUGAUUUAUUUGGUUUGUGUUGUGAUAAUAUGAUAAUACAUUGGUGUAACUCGAAAUUUAUGAUAAAAGAGUAAAGAAUACAUAAACACAUGACAUAAUAAAAAACGUGCUUUGGAGAUCUAAGAAUCUUUAUGCUUAAUAUAUGAAAACAAAGCAAAAAUCCUCAUAAGUGGCAUUUUUGUAAAAAUAAGAAAAGCUUAGUGUAAAAAUUACAUUUGCGGACCUAAAGGGGUUAGAAUGAUAUUUUUGUGAAACAAUCUGACUUUAUGAAAAAUUACGCCUUUCUAGGGGUCAAAAAACAUAAAUGUUAGCUUAUUGGGCAUACAUAUGGGUUUUAUGGGUAUAAGGGCCCAAAGUGGCGAAAAAUGGAGUUUUGGGGCUAAAAAUGUCAUACAGCCGAAGAUCGAACUAAAUCAGUAAUUAAAACAAGUAUGGGGUUGAAAAUGGCCUUAAUUUUAAAUUCAGGACUAAAAAUGUAAAGUUUUUGGAUUUUGGGUCAAAAAUGUAAAACAUUCAAAAAUUGGAUCAAAACCGCAAAAAAAUUUUAAACAAGGCGCUGAGGAUGUUCAAAAUUUUAUAACUUGGGUUGAAAUCCUAUUUUAAUAAGGUUUUGUGCCGAAAAUGCCAAGAUAAUAAAUUCGAGGACCAAAAAUGUCACUUUUCAUUUAAAAGGACUAAAAAUGUCAUUCUAUUUAAAAAAGGGCUUAAAUUGUAACUUUUGAUGAAGAACGGGCUGAAAUGCCCAACUAAACAUUUUGAUCAAAUAUGUAAAAAAUACAAGAAUUUAUAACCCAUGGAUACGAAGUNNNNNNNNNNNNNNNNNNNNNNNNNNNNNNNNNNNNNNNNNNNNNNNUAUAUAUAUAAACCAUAUCGUUGUUAUAAAUCGAACAUCGGGUGAUUUUGCUUCGUAAUUAAAUAAUCAAAGCAAAACAAAUCAUAUGUUACAAAUUAUAUACGCACACAAAUACAUGAUACGAUAAUUGGGCCCAGUCUUCCCUAUUUGUGCUUAUUGGGCCUUCGUGACCGAAUUUCAUAAUCUUUGGGCCCGUUAUAAUUAGAAAAUGUUUAUCGGGCCUUGGUGGCCUAGUUAUAUGUUUGGUAGACCUUUAUUAGCUUUUUAAAUGCUAUUGGGCCUUAGUGGCCCAUUUGCAUUACUAAUGUGGUCCCAAACACUCAUGAUGAGCUUAAUGGGCUUUAACGUGCCCGUCGCAUGCUCAAAGGCCUAGAAUAACAUACAUGACCUACGGUCCGUCAUGGUCCUCACUCAUGUUGGAUAGGCUUACUUCAUUUUCAAGAAAACAUUAAACAAGUAUGGACAAGGUUAUUCACAUUCAUAAAUUAUCAGUUGGACUUAGUGAGAAACGUCUUUCAGCACCAACGAGUGUUUGGGCGUAGCCUGUACUUAUAAUAAGAGUCUCCUGGAGGGAGAACGAGAGUUUGUGUAUAGAUCUAUGUGGGGGUGACUCCCCUACACCUAAGUUGUUCGCUACAGUUAGACUCAACCAGUCUAGGGUGACAAAAUCUUGAUCAAAUCCGGCAUUUUCACAAAUGCUAUGACAGGCGAAAUAGUGAUCAUCAUGUAUGGUUAUAACGACUCACAUCAAGAUCCGUUACUCAUUUCAUCUUUUGGGAAGGAAAAUUCAUACAUAGUGAACGUACACGUGAUUACCCGAUAGUACAAAACAAUUGUACUAACUAAAACUGAAAACAUCGGGUUUUCUGGGGAUAACAAUGAUAUUCAUUUCGUUUACAAACAUUUAUCUACUAUAAAAUGAACAAAUAUGAAAGUUAUUCCUUCUACAUGUUUUAAAUCACAUGCACAUACACUUAUGGGAUUAUCACAACAUUUUCGUAAACAGUUUUAUUACAGAAAAUAUCGGAUUUUCUGGGAUUUUCAAAAUAACUUGUAUUCUCAAGUAAUCGUUAGAACGAGAAAUCAUCAAGUGUGUAAUGAAAGUUUCUUCUGUGAUAUUGUUAAUCAGUAGAUACUUAAUAUUGUGGGAUUAUGUAAUGUAAAAAAUGUACCUGAUGUGAACAAUGACAGUUGUACUAUGUAAUGUUUGUGAUGUAUGUGCUAAGUUUCAUUUAUAUUCAUUAUGAUGAUAUUUCAAUUGAUAGUCACGCCAGCCCCCGGACGUUUAUGUCAUCUGGUUUGGGGGUGUGACAUGGUUUGACAAUUGUGCUUACUUAAACGGAAUUGUCAUCCGAUUCCGACAUAGAUCUAUUGAUAUAUGUUGAUGAUAUGCUUAUCACAACAAAGGACAUGGUUGGAAUAAAUGAAUUAAAGGAGACCUUGAAGAAUGAGUUCGAAAUGAAGGAUUUGGCAGCAACAAAGAAGAUACUUGGAUACUGAAGGAUAGAAAAGAAGAGCGUUUGUGGAUUUGUCAACAAAAAUACACUGAGAAUGCUUUGUAAUACUUCAAUUGUGAUCAUUCCAAGCCACUUAGAACUCCUUUAGCAGCUCAUUUUAAACUUGGUCCAAACAUUAUACUCACUACUAAAUAAGAAAGGAACUACAUGAACAGGGUUCGUACUUAAGUGUUGUUGGAAGUUUUAUGUAUGCUAUGAUCUGUCCUAGACCUGAUUUUGCUCAUGCAGUUAAUGUGGUUAGCAGGUUUAUGAGUAAUACAUGGAAGACUCAUUGGGAAGAUGUAAAGUGGAUCUUGUGAUACUUGAAGGGAGCAACAAAUGUUUGCUUGGUGUAUGGAGCAUAUACGUAGAGUGACUUGGUGGGAUAUGUUGAUUCUAACUAUGGUCGUAACUUGUUGAAGUGUAUGUCAUGGACAUGCUACAUAUUCCCUUUAUUCAGAUGUGCCAUAAGUUGGAAGUCAACAUUACAAGAUAUUGUUCUUUGUACACAACUGAAUCUGAGUAAAUGUCCAUGGCGAAAGGAAUAAAGGAGGAGAUAUGGUUGCAUGGGCUAAUUUAGAGUCUUGGUUUGAAGGUGGAGACGCAUGUCUAGUAUUGUGACAGUCAUAGUGCUUUGAGUCUUGCAAAGAAUCAUGUGUAUCAUGAUAAGACAAAGCACAUAGAUUUCAUGCUAAGUUUCAUUCUGGAUGUUCUAGAAGAAGACAAGUUUUCAAUAAUGAAUAUUGAUACCAAGCUCAACCCAGCAGAUAUGUUGACAAAGUCUUUGCCCACGGAAAAGUUCAAGCUCUGCUUGGACAUGGUUGAUGUUCGCAGGAGGUAGGUGUCGGGUUUUGAGCAUUCUAACACUCCUAAGUGUACAUGCAACCCUAAAUACCUUGGAUCUAUGUUUUCUCUAUUAUACAUACAAAUAAGAAUAUCCAAGGUAUUAUCCUAAUCUAGCAUAUAAAAUAAUGAAUAUAAAAAGAUAGAAUACAUACCUCUUUCAUGUAGAAAGUCUUCAUGAAGCUUGAGUGCCUAGUUCCCCAAGUGUGACACCUCAAAUGGUUCACACAACACCAAAUACAUUUGGAAUAACAUGAGAGAAAUCUACAACUCAUGAAAUCGGCUAGCUCUUUCUUACUCUCUCUAGUGGCCGAUUUUUGUCAGGAAUAAGAUCUUUAUAUAGUGUUACAAUUAGGAUAAAUCCUAAUUGUCAAGACUUUCCAUUUCCUUGGAUCCAUGGGUUCAAAUACACCAUGGAGCAUCCAUGGACCAUCCUAUGGGUUUUAGCCCAACUUGGUUAUCGAUGGAGCAUUAGCCCACUAUACAAGUAUGGAUAAUUUACACAAUCAACCCAUAUAUUUAAUUAGCCUUUUUUUGAUCACUUAAUUAAUCCUAGAUUAACUCUUGAUCAAUACUAAUUAAAUAAUCUUAUUAUUCUUAUUAUUAAUAUACUAGAACUUAUAAUAUAUUAAUAACCAUAAGUGUCUUAUUUCUCUCAUUAUAGUCUAUCCAAGUGCAUGAUGCUAUGCAACCCAAAUGGACCAUGCCGGGUCGGGUCAAGUCUUACCAAUUAUAGUUAUGGACUUAAACAUUAAUCCAACAGUCUCCCACUUGGAUAAGUCUAAAACUAUUAUUGCGUAUGACUUCAGGAACCAACUGGCAAUCGUAGCUCUCAAAAGCUUCUGUCGAACUCUGACCUUGUAGAUGAACUCUGACCUUUGUCAAUGACUUGUCCAUUAGAUAAGAGAUAAUAUAUUCCACCAUUCUAGAUAUCAUAUGAACUAAGACAUGGAUUAUCAUCAUUCUCUAUGUCCAUUUUUUGUUGCCCAAUUUUCGAUUUAUGGUGACUGACUAAUUGAACAAAUCAAAUCAGUCCUGGCCCGGCCGAGCACUUCCAUUUGUCAUUAUCAAAUCAUCGAGGGGCCCACAUAUAUUGCUUUUAUCCCGAAGAUAAAAGGAAUGGAUAAGCUUCGACUCAUAUGGCUUGUUCUACUACUUGUUGAAUCAUACACAAAGGCACGUUUUAUAGCACCGAGUUACCAAAUGCGUUUUCGUGCAAUCAAUGUACUAUCAACUCAUAGUAACAACUCAUAUCUCUAGGUUUGAAGAAUAUAAGAUAUUAUCGUCUCAUGAUCACUCGUGAUAAAAUCCAUGAAGUGAUUCCAAUGAGCGCGGGUUGAAUCCAAUACUCAGAACUUAUGAGCACUCAUGAGUGUUGUAGCCCUUUGUCCAACACCUUAGACCUCUACAAGCCAACCCAUGACAGUCUUAAUUCAUAUCUACUUCCAACAUAUGACCGACUGUGGAUGGUUUGAAUAACUUAGUCAUUCCGGAAGAAUAACCUAGUUUAUUCGGGAAGUCAAAACAUGCAAAGUGAAACACAAUAAUAAUUGAAUCCAAUAUGGUAUGAAAACCUAUGAACAUAAAUAAAAAACCUUUUAUUUAUCACCAUAUGAUUACACAUUAUUCAUUGUAUACUGUUUCAGCUAUCAACUUUAUUCUUGAAUUUAAAACAAUAGUUGUCCCAUGCUCCAAGCAUGUCCACUAUGUUUUCUAAACACUAGUCAUGCCAUACACCAAGUAUGCAUACUAUGUUUGUCUAUGAUCUUUACUUUGUGAACUAGAUCCAUUGAACAUAACUUCAAUGAUUCUCUUUUCACACUCCCAAAUCCUUACUGCAAAUGCAAGAAUUCCAAAUUCAUGCCAUUUACUGAAAUCUGUUAGAUUCUAAACUUAUAUGCAUUGAUCCUCUUGUAAUGAUUAUGCACAAAGUCACAAAGACUUGGCAACAAUCAUUACAGAGUAUUCCAAAGGAGAUCAACUCCUUGGAAAUAUCCUUCUUGCAUUAAGUUUCCUUAAUCUUACACAGAUUGAAAAUUCUAACUUUGAAACAUUUCCAGAUUCCAUUUUGACUAUCACUUCUGAACAAGAGUUGCCUCCUUACAGAUUAUGUCAAUAUGGUCCUUCCAGAAUUAUCACUAUACUUCCAAUUGUCCUUGAGCAACCAAUCUUUGGUAAACCUUAGAUUGUCCUCGACAAUUGUUUAAUCCUUUUAGUCAUAUCCAGUUCUAAACCUUUUCCCUUCUUAAUGCCCCAGGCAUUUGGAAAAUUUUAGAACGGAUGAAUAUAGCACAUGUAAUCGAUCCUAUAUCCGAAGCAUAUGGGACACGAUUCAUGAUGUCUCACAUAAAGACUAAACCAGUCUUUUGCUAUAAUAUUUCCAUUUCAAUUUGCCAAGUUCUCAUAAUUCAGAUUAUGAAAAGGGAUGCCGUAAUCAUAAUCGAAUUUUAGAACGCAAAUAAUGGACCCAUAUACAGAAUUUCCUUAUGUUGAGCCAUUCCAACAUGAAAUUCAUAUAUAUCCUUGACUAAAUGAUUAAAACCUCACGAUCUAAGCUUAUAGAUUUGAGAUGAAGCAUAAUUUCCUCUCCCUUAAUUAUAGCAAAACAACUUUUUCCCAAUUGAAACUUUUGUUUUCUAUAAUUAACAUUGCUAACUUGCAAUACUUAUCAUAAUUAUCAUGCUCCCACUAACAUGAUGAUUAUUAGCAUAACACUUAUGCUCCCACUAGCUUUGACAUGUACUCAGAAAUCAGCUGACUUUCUUACCAAAGUUCAGAUUUCUGAUACUAGAUUGUUUUGAUAAAACUUUAUCAAAAUCAUACACCUUCCCUUAGAUAGCACACUUGUGUGUCUAAACAAUUAUGAAGAGGGAUGCCGUAAUCAUAAUGGUUAGACCUUUUUGCCACUUCUCACAAGUCCAGGUUAGUGUGCCGGUUAACCACACACGCUCCACUAACGACUUUGAGAAUGCAAAUAUCACAAUUGCUAUCUAGCUAAAAUCUACUUAGUGAAAGUGUUUCCUCACCAUCAUUUUCAUGAAUCGGAGAGAAACCUUAUGAGACUUAGAUUUACUGGUGUAUGUGUUCUUAUCCAUGUGAAUUGUCAAAACCAUAGACACAAGACAAGGAUAAUGACAAAUCCAAACUCAUAUGGAUUGAACUCAAUCUUAACUUCUUGCCACCUGGCAGCUCAAGGGCCUGCCAUUGCUUCCAAGUUGUUGUGCAACAAAUUGAGAACUCUAAGAACUCAUAUGCAAAGCCAACUUUAACUGGAAUGGGCACAGAAUAUGUCAACACGAUAGGUUAUAAACCUCAAGUCGUGUGCUAGUGAAGAACUUUAGGUUUUAUUCUUGAUUAGUUCUUGAGACUUUCAAGACCUUUAAGACUCCCACUGUCCUCUUGACAUAUAAGACUCCCUUGUGAAACAUCCAAGAGAUAGUGCAGAUUCUAAUCAAAAUACACACUUCACACAAUUGGCCUUAGUUGGUCUUUGUUUUAUCCGAAACAUCACAACUUACCAAUUUCAAAUGUACAAGAGUAGAAAACUUUUACUCUUACAUUUAACAAGUGUUUUAAACCUUCUUUAAGACAUGUCACUCAAGUUACAAUCUUGGAGUAUGACUCUAAGAAUUGUUUUUGGAACAAAGUAUGAAUCAUCUUCUUGAUUUAACCACUUCAACAAUUAAUAGUUCCUCUUCUUAGCUAUAAGAAAGCACUUAGAGGAUGAAUUGUGAUAAGGUCUCUAAAUCAUUAAGAUGAUCAUAAAAACUGAUACAAAAGUACUCUCCUAUCUUUUCAGAUUUGAAAAACUUUUAUCCUUCUGAUUAAUUUGAUUCUUCUUAUUCGCUCUGGCUUACAUUGGAACCUUUUCCAAUGUCUCAAAAAUACACUUAAGCUUGUAGGUAUAAUCAUAUUUACUGAGCUUUAGUAAACUAUGACGAAUAGUCUUAUCAAUCUUUUGUGGUGGACUUAAUCAGUGCACAAGAAUGUGUACUCGAUCCCUUAGUCCUUUACUUGACUCACACAUCCAUGUGGCCGAGUAAUUAGUCUUAAUUUUCCAAAACUUGAAAGUUCUCAUUCAUCAUGCUAUACAACUUGCAUGAUUCCAAGUUCCGGUCCAAUUGAAACUUGGGUGAUGAGAAUCUUUCCUUAUUUGGUAAAUCUAGACAUUACCACAAAUGAAAGAAUCAAUUUCAUACUUCCACUCUUGCUACUAAUGGAAUCUUAUAAGCAACAAAAAUUUCCACAGAUGCCAUUGUAAGGAUAUUUUAAAAUAAAUAAAAUCAAAAAUUUCCUUUUAUUUUAAAACUUUGCGGAAAAACUAUCCUUACAAUCCAUAUGAAAACUUGUUGUUAUCUAUUCCUAAGCAAUAUCUCAUAACUCCUAAGAAGUAGCUCAAGAAUCCGAUUUUUCAAACUAUGCGAUAGAAAUCCAUCUAUGCGAUCAGAUUCAGCAUAUUCUUUCUUUAAGUUUCUUCACUUUUCUUUGAUUCUUAAAACAUCACCACGUGACCCAGUCACAUCAUGUAUCAAGAAUCUCAGAAUAGAAACUUAGCAGAGUUAGAUAGUGGACUUUACCUGAAGUAGAGUCAAACUUAUUGACUUUAACAUCCUUAGGUAAAUUUGGCAGCUUCGCAACCAAUGCCCCUUCCUUUGGCAAUAUAAA
rnacentral:lncRNA from 1 species